rnacentral:lncRNA from 1 species
CCCCCACCCAUCUCUCUCUUACUGUCGUGUUAUAACUUCUGUCUAAUCACCUCCUUCCCCCUUCGCUUUUCUCCUACUCUCUCUCUUUCUCCCGAUCUCACUCGCGCACCACCAUUUCUCUUCCCCCAUCUCCGUCUGAUCAAUUGCGUAAUCUGUAAUUGUAUCAAGUUGGCCGCUGUUUUCAACCUGCUACGUUCGUAGCUGCAUUUUCGAUGAAAAAUUUUUUUCCCCUUUCACACACAACCUGUCCUUCGCAUCAGUUUUAAUUAUUUUAUUUUUUAAAAUUUUAUUUACACGUAAGUUAAAAAAACAACUAAACAAACAAACGUAGAAAAGAAACUAUUACACAUGCCUCAACACAUGUUCUUUUUACUACACCAAUUAUAAAUUUAUCACUUUUAAGUUCGAUUGUAAUUCCGUUCGAUCUUGUUUCCUGUUUCUAACCAGUUUUAAUUUGGCAUUACUGUUUUGUUCGGACAACCAGUCCCCCUUUUCUUGCACACAGUAAAAAAAAAUUAAGAAACAGAACAGAUAUAACAAGUGUUAAAAGUUAAAACUCGGAAUAACCAUUUUUUUUAUUUACUUGUUUUCAAGUCGAUCUAUUUCUUACCUCUUUCUCUCUCUUUCACACACACACAAAAAAAAAAGUGAGGGGUUCCGGAGUGUCUAUUAUACAACGAAUAUCUGCUUGACUGAUUUAUUUUCUAUCGUUGUUAUCGUUGUUGCCUCUUCGUUGAUUGUUUUCUUUUCUAAAGAAGGUGGGGAAAAGUCUGGAAGAAGAAAAGGAACAAACAACUACAAGGCUACAUAAAGUUAAAAUAAUAACGAUGAUGUCACAUACACACGCGCACUGUGCUGCUAGAACAAUCGAUACCAAUAUGAUUUCUGUCCGCAGAUUUUGCAGCUGGUGGGUUAGUGGGAAAGAAAACAAAUUACUGGACAAAACGAACAAAAAAGAAAGAAAAAAAAAUGUUGUUGAAAACAUAAAGAAAGAAAAUAACUGGACAUAAAUUUUUGAAAAUUUUGCGAAAAAGCCAAAGUUGAAGUCUUUUGGAGAUUUUAAGUAAAUCUAGUUUUGCAAUAUGUCCAAAGAAAAUUUUAAAAAAAUUCUACUAUUUGGACUUCACAGGUCAGGUAAGCUGUGUUGUAAUUUGAAAAAAAGAAAGAAAAUCUGUGUGUUUGUAGUUGUUAGGGGUUUAUUAAAAUAAUUGUUCGUCAGCCUUAGAUACUUUUAACCUCCUCGUACUGCUUCGCUCUAUCUACCCCUAUCGUUUAAUCCAGGGGUGGGGUAUCUCUCGCUCGUGGGCACUAUUUUUGCCUUCAUUAUAAGUUGAAAUAGCCUCUUGUCAGUAUCUCUGAAACCCAUAAAAAAGGCGGUUUACGGGUGAAAAUUAAAAACAGUAAUUUAAUAUUUGUUACAUAACCUAUGAAUUUAUAAUAUUAAAUAUGCGCGCCGACAAGUUCUUAUGCACUUGCAGGUUCAUCUCCUGACACUGAGGUACCCCCACUCCCUAACGCAUCUAAUUCAGUGCAUCGUACUUUUUCUUUUUUCAUCCUCCCACCCCGCCUUGUGUCUUUGAGUUGGGGGCGGGAUAACAACCGUUUAAUGAGAGGAAAAGUGGUUCAUCUUUGUCGCUUAGAGUGAUUCUGUGUAAUGGUUCUGGCUGGCUUGGGUGUAGACACUUUUAUGUUGUGAGCGAAGAAAUCUUUUUCUCCCUUACCCCUCUUUCUCUUUCUAACACCUUUCUCAUCUUUUUCUCCUCCUUCUCUUUGUUCUUCCUUACCCGUGUUAGUGUGGCGAAGUAAAAAUAAAAACGUUACGUAAAAAGAGUGUGUGUGGAAAAAAGGAAAAGAAAACAAAAAACAACCCCACAACGCAGUACAAAAUAACUUCUCAAAACAGUUACAACUAUCACCAUAACUAGAGUUCUUCCGUUUUAACCACCUAGCGAGGUCAAACAAUUUAAUAAUGGACUCGUGCUUGGAUGUCAUUGCUUGUUUUUCGGUAAUUUCUUUGAUGACAAUUUUUUAAAAAAGUAGUUUGAAAUAAUAUUUAAAUAGUUGGAUUCUUCUUUUUUUUUUUUUUUGUAAUGUAGGUUUGUGUAUGUUAUGCUACUAAUAUCUGUUUAGUGUCUUUGGAAAAGACCGAAUGAAUGUCGCAACUUGGCUGCUUCCUUUUCGUCACAAAAACUCAUCAGUGGAAAAGUCUAUCGUUAUGCUGUAUGUGUGUGUGUGUGUGUGUGUGAGAUAGUGGUAUGGACUUUUUUGUCUUCAACGCCGAGAUUGCACUAUAAUCAAGUCUUUAUUUCGGUUUAAGAUGAAGCUGAAUAUUACACUACACGAAUUUGCUGCCCACUCUGACAACCAUACAAGACUGGAAGGUGGAGAAUGGAAAAAUUUUUGUUGCAUAAUGCAAAGCAACACUAACACUCAUUCACACAUUCGCACAAUAUUCAACACAUAAACACACUCCCACUAAUGCAAUUCUCCUAACACUAACGUACUCACCCACACACUGAUGCACUCACCCACACAAGCUCAUGAACGCGGGCACCCACAUAUUCUAACGCAUUCUCCCAUAUUAAUGUACGCGGGCACGCACCCACACUAUCGCAAGCACACUCAUACUCUAUCGCACUCUCCCACAUAUGUUAAUGCACGUGGGUACUCACAUACAUACUCAUUCCUUCACACACACAUGCAUUCAGCUCACCUCCUAACGCGAUUACCCACUCACAUUAAAUUGCUCACCCACGUACUCUAAUGCACUUACCCACACUCAAACGCACUUACACAUUCACUCAUACAUGUGUAACAUUCUUGCAUUCACUGUCACACUUGUACUCUUUCACAUACACUAAUAACACACUUAUAUUCGCUAACAUAUUAACACUCAAUCACUAACAGUCACUCAUAGUAACAUAAUGCCCUAACUCACCCAUAUUAGCUCAUUUGCAUUCAUUCAUUCUCUGACACUAGCAUGCAUUCAUGCACACUCUCUCAUAUAGAUAUGCUUUCACAAAUACUCAUAUACUUACUCUCUCACUCUCACACACACCUGCAAUUGGAAAUAUACUCAAUGAUACAUUCAUACAUGCUAGUAUAUUCACACACUAACUCAUUUACACUCAGUCACACACUUCUUCCUCUAUUUUACACAUAUCUCUUGCAUGUGUGUAGCCUCUCUAUUCUACUCCAAGCCAUUUUGAGUAGGACCAGAACAUGGAGGAUGGAAAGAAAAGGGAAGCCAAAAUGAAAAUCAGACGUUGGGAUGAAACCUCUCAAAGCUCUCAACUGAAAAGUUCAGUGCAUACCUUUCCAAAGUAUUAAAAUGAUAACUGAUAUUGUCUUUUAGAAUAAUUCUAUUGAAAGGAAGCUGAGAUCUGGUCAAAUUAAUCUUUUCAAUGUGGAGGUAUUUCAGAUCUGAAAUGUUGGUUUAUUAUGCAAUGAUAUUGAUUUUUGACAUAAGUACAAGGCCUCAGUUUUAUGAUAGGACAUAGUCGAUCAUAUUGCCAAGUUUCAAUUAGUACUUAUUUUUGUGCCCUUCCCGCUUGCUCCACAAAGGCAGGAUCCAACAUAAGGAGACAUACUGUACAAAUUCUGCCAAUCCACUGUCUUUCAUAGUGUGAUUGAAUGAGGUAGCAUAAACUUGCAAUUGAAAUCAUAUGGGAAUUAAGAUAAUUCUUGUCCUAAGUGCUUCCCUGUAUGAUGGAGGCAAUGCCAGAAGCAGAUUUCUUUGCAGCAAGCAUUAUUUUGAGUUAUGACUUGAAGAAAUCUAUAUUUUUGAGAGAGUGUUCCCUCUAUGUUGUAAAACAAUAUUAUGGCUGUCUCUAGAACAUUAUCACAAUCUUUAUCAACACAGAUAUUUACCUAUAUUCAGUUAAAAAAAAAAAUAAUUUAAUGAAUUUUUGAAGUGACAAUAUUAUGAUCUUGCUGGUCUUUAUCCCUCCCCAUUCUAUAUUUUCAUUUUUUUCUAUGCUACCAGUUGUCUUCUCACCUCUAACUUGUAUUUCUUUCCACCAUUCACUUCAUCUACCACUUUACUAUUCUUCCUUACCUUCCCUUAUUAUCAUCCUUCAAAACUUGUUCUACAGUAUGUUCACCUCCUUUGUUGCUCAUCAUUAUAUUCACCUCUUUGCUCAUAUUCCCAUCUAACCAUCUUUCACUCACCCAUAUUCUUGCAACUUCUAUUCAGCCACACUCCCUGUUCUACCUACACUUAUUUCUACAUCCCUUGUAUCUUGAGUGUGCACCCUUACAUCUCUUCACUAUAUUUAUCUUUUUCUAUCUCCACCUUAGCCGCUCUAACACUCUAUUUCGUUAUUAACCAUGUAGCUCCCCUACAGCAAGAAAUUUGUUUUCUUCUGGUCCCUUCUCUCAAACUUUAUUCCUUCAUCUCCUAGCAUAAAGCCACCCCUUCCCUUCUACUGUAGUGCCACUUAAUUGAAAGGCAUCUUAGUCUUGCAAGCUGCUCGACAACUUCACUAGUGUUGGUGCCAUGAAAAACUGCAGCCAGUACACUGUGAAAUAGUUGGUAUUAGGAAGGGUAUCUAGCUAUAGAAACCAUAUCAAAGUAGACAUUGAAGCACAAUGCAGUCCUCAGACCCAUUGGAUCCUUCAAACUGCCCAAAUCAUGCCAGCAUAGAACAUGGACUUUAAAUGAUGAUGAUGAUUUUGAUUAGUUCUAUAAUCCAUAGUUCAUAAAAGGCACCACUGAAGACUUUCAAAAAGAUAUAUGUGAAAAAAUAAAACUUUGUGUAUGUGUCAUUUCUAUGUGUAAUCAAUAAUGUAUACAUGGUUAUCCCCCUGAUCACUUUUGCAUCAGCUUUUCCUGGCUUGCAUAGGUUGGGAGAAUCUUUUCUAACACAAUAACUUGCUAUUUUUUGUGGUCUUUUAUAUUCUUUCUCAAGAGGUUCAGCUUUUUGAGAUUAGAUUUCACUGCUUGUUCCUGUGUCGUCCUUGGUCUUUUUCCGCCACAAGUUCCUUCUAUUUGGAUUACUCAACACUUCUUUACUCAAAUGUCAUCCAUUAUAUGUAUUCUACAUGUCUGUGCCAGUGCAUUUUCUUUCUUGCAUACCAUCGUAUUCUUUUUAUAUAUAGUUUUUCUUACAAUUCAUUUGUGUUCGUGUACACUAACAUUACAUCUCCAGUGGAGCAUGUUUUGUAUCACUUCUUUCUUGCUUUAAUAUAUCUUUCACAUUCAAUGCCCAUGUUUUACAACCAAGUGACACCACACUUUGUACUCUGCUUUUCCCUUAGAAAGUGAACUGACUUGUUGCCAGCAGAAACAAUGGCUUUCAGAAUUUUACCCCUAUAUUUUUGAACAAUCACUUUCACUGUAUGAAUAUUCGAAAGAAUUCAUUUCAUGACUUCUCUUAUUGCUAACAUCUGCUUCCUCUGAGAUCUUUCUACUCUGCUGGCCUGCCUGUGGUGUCAUGUCAUCUAUUGUGUACUGAAAUUUUGCAUGUGCCAUGCAGUUCAGAGUUCCUUACUUUUUUUCAAAAUAUUGGGGCAUAGCAAUCUCCUUGAUGGCAGUGGAGUCCUAUUCCCCUGCUUGCUAGAAAUUCUGUCUUCAAAAUUUAUAUUUAGGCUUUAUGAUUUGAGGGUUUACUUCCAUGUUUAGAAUUUCUUCUAUAUUUCUUUUAGCUUACAUGAAAUUCCAAAGACGACUGGAUGUAAACGACUUUGUUCUGUAAUAAAUGAUGGGCAACUGAGCCCUGGUGGACAUCUACUUCCAUACUAAAUUUUAUGCUAAUCUUGUUACUAACUUUCCACCUGGCUGAUAAGGUCUCUGUACAAGGUUUCCAUGCCACUCACAAGCCAUUUGUUUCUAGAUUUCUUAGUGACUGCCAGAGAAGAGAAUAAAGUAUCUUGUCAAAGGCUUACUAGGUUGACAAAUGCCAGGAAUAGUGGCUUUAUUUUAGCCAAGAACUAAUGUAGUUAUCUCACUAGGAAGAGGGACACCCCACUUGGAUACAAAUCUGAACUGCACCUCAUUUAACCCUUUAGCAUUCAGAUUAUUUUGUGAAAUGUAAUGCUUAUUUAUUCACACUGUUUUGAAUUAAUCAAGUAUUUGUCUCAUAGCUUCGAGAUUUCAAUGAUGUGAUGGGCUAGAUCUGUCUUUUUUUAAUAUAAAAUUAGUUGAAUAUUUAGGCCAAGUUUGGCUGGUUUAAAUGCUAAUUCUUUUUCUUAUCACUUGUGCUAUAACUUUUUCAAUUACUCAGUCCAUUGGUUUGGUGCCUCUCUAGUUCUUUCUCAAGUAUCUCCUAUCUUCUAGCAGUUGAUGAAGACUGUGACUGUAACACCUCUCUGUUAUACUUGACUAUGUGCAUAAUAACAUGCAACCUUCUUUGAAUAUUUGUAGUGUGUGAGUGUCCCUAAUUCUACAGCCACUUUCUCUAGAUUCCUAUGUUUACGUUUCCGAUCAUACAGAUGUUCUCUCUCUUGAGGCUACUUCAAGCAGAACUUCUCUGUCCCACACAUACUCAUUCAGCAACCUCUUGUAACAUUUCUAUGCCUCUUUUUUCUUGAAUUUUAGUGAAUGGAAUGCAUACAUAACAUUCCAUGCAUAUUUUUGCCCUAUGUCUUGAUGAGCCUAAUGCAUUGUUUUGCAGUUUGGAGCACCACAUGCUUCGGUUUCUGUUAUUGCAAAAGAUUUGGAAGCCUCUUGCUUUCAUUUUCUCUCCUAACUAUGUAUAUCUGAUAUUUAGGUUUCCUUGCUUCUCUGCUUCCCCAAAUCUAUCCAUAUCUGCCAAUUAGUUUUCAGAACUCUAUCUUUUGUAUCAAUCCACUAUGUUACCUUCUGUCUGGCUGGAAUAUUGCUCCAUCUGCAUUUUGUAUGUGGUUUGCUGAAAGUGGUUUCCCAGAAACACUAAGUUGAUGCUUAUAUGUCUAUACUACAAUAAAGAAAGCUGCUUAUUUAUUAGUUGAAACUAUGUAAGCCUACCAUGUCUAAAAAUAUUCUUAUAAAUUCCAAUUUUAAUGUAUAUUUUUGAUUAAAAUAAGAUUUUCUAAAUUCUUUUAUUGAAGAUUCAAGUACACUCCUCAAUCACAAAGCUAAUUUUUAUUCACUGCAACAAACCUCUCUCUCUUUCUCUCUUUAUAUUUAAUGGUUUUCAUUAAAUUAUUCAUAUUCACUGUAACAAUAUGUCCCCCUCUCUCUUCAAUUGUUUCCAUUAAAAGAAAAGCUUUUCUUUAAGAUACCUUAAGAAUAUCUGUGGAAAUUUUUACAAUAUCUAAUGUAUUAAAAUUACAUAGAAGUAUUAUUUCAUUCUGGACAGUUGUGUUAACCAUAGUCCUUUGAAAAUGAAACCCUUGAAUUAUUGUCUUUGUUUAAACUGACUUUGUGUUCUUUUCUUUCUUUUUUGCCGCAUUCCACCUUUCAGUCUUUGUCUCUUCUCUGUCUCACAAACUUCAUUUGUAACCUUUGCCUUGUCAUUUCACUUAAUUCUUUAUUUCCCAGCACAGUUGUUACUUUCACUCUGUUCUCUCUCUCUCUUUCUUCAAAACAAGUGGUUUCAAAGAUUUUCUUUGAGAUACUUUGAGAACAUUUCAGAAAAUGUUUACACUAUAUCUAUCAUAUCAAAAUUGCUUUGCAGAUAUCAUUUGAUAUUUGCAAAAAUAAAGAAAAGAUUGUGUGUGUAUAUUGGGAGAAAUGCAAACACGACAAAUUCCUGUAAAAAACUGCCGUGAGGGCAGUUUUCUGAAUAUUAAGUACUUAUUUUUCUUGACUAUUUAUUUAGUACUUAUUAAAACUGCUGUCCAGCUGAUAGAAUUUCAUUCUCCAUGUCUUCCUGCUUAAGGUUGUUUUGUGUCUUAUAGUCAAUUUAGCUCUGAUUUUGAAGUUGCUGAUCACAUAAAUGUGUAGAGUGGUUCAUUUUUCAUCAUGAAAUAUCUUAAUAUUAGAGACCAGUAACAUAUGCCAUUUCAAGGUAAUACAAAAUAUAUCUGGCUUGUCUGUUCAACUUAUUGGUAGGUAAUCAGAUGCCUGGCAAAUGGUUAGGUAUGUUUCUGUGUGUAUUUAUGAAUGGAUAUUGUGUACAUGUAUAUAUACAUGUGUGUGUGUUUGUAUGUGUGUAUGUAUAUAUAUAUAUAUAUAUAUAUAUAUGUGUGUGUGUGUGUGUACAAGUGUGUAUGUAUAUAUAUGUGUGUGUGUGUGUACAAGUGUGUAUGUAUGUAUGUAUGUAUAUAUAUAUGUGUGUGUGUGUGUGUACAAGUGUGUAUGUAUAUAUAUAUAUGUGUGUGUGUUUGUGCAGCUCCUCAGCUUAAGUCAAACCAUCCAACCCAUGCCAGCAAGGACAACAGACAUUAAAUGAUGAUGAUAUAUAUAUAUAUAUAUAUAUAUCCAUGUCGAGGACAUGUAAAAAGCACCAACUGAUUGUGGCCGUUUGCCAGCCUCCUCUGGCCCCUGUGCUGGUGACACGUAAAAAGCACCCACUACGAUCAUCAAGUGGUUGGCAUUAGGAAGGGCAUCCAGCUGUAGAAACACUUCCAGAUCAGAUUGGAGUCUGGUGCAGCCUCUUGGCUCCCAAGACCCCAGUCGAACCGUCCAACCCAUGCUAGCAUGGAAAACGGACAUUAAACGAUGAUGAUGAUGAUAUAUAUAUAUAUAUAUAUAUAUGGCAGAAUUUUUUUUGAAAAUGCACCUGAAUUUGAAAAGCUUGUAAUUGUUUUUAAAUAAAUUUAUUUACACAUAUACCAAACCAGUUACAACAAAAUUUUACUUAUCAAUGGUAUAAACAUAUAUAAAACAAUGGGAUUUUUAAAAUUGCGAAUUAGAAAACCAGUUUAAAUGAUAAAUUAUUCACAAAAUUCAAUGACAGGGGUAGAUAAUACCAUAAAUGAUUGGUGAAGAAUAUGAAAAAUGUAGAUUAUUAAAAGUUCGGUAUUAUUGAGUUUAGAGAGAGAAAUAAGAAAAGAAGAGAGUAAAAAAACAGGGUUUUUUUUUUCUUACAGUUUGUGUGUGAUUGUUUUUUCCGAUGUCUACAGGGCUUGGAAAAUUUUGUGACCAGGGGCUUGAAUUUUGUAAACAUUUUAUCAUUUAAACAUGUUUUCUACUUCACAAUUAAAAAAUUUUUAAAUCUCAUUGUUUUAUAUACAUUUAUACCAUUGAUUAACAAAAGAUUGUUGAAAAUAGUUUGGUAUGUAUGUAAAUAAAUUUAUUUAAAAAGAAUGAAAAUAUUUUGAAAUUCAGAUGAACUUUCAAAAACAAAUUCGCCUAUAUUUUUUUCUUUCAAGGAAAUACACCCCUUCUUUCCAUAUAUCCAUACAUCUAUCUGUCUGUCUGUUUGUCUAUCUACAUACAUACACAGACACACACACACACAUGUAUGUUUAUGUGUGUAUGCAUAUAUCAUCAUCAUAUGUCUGUUUAUGCUUCCUUGGGUUUCAUGGUUUGACAAAAUGUGAGGAGCUGCAAGGCUAAGUCAUGCUCCAGUGUCAGCUAUGCCUUCAUUUCUACAGCUAGCUGCCCUUCAUGAUGCCAGCUUACAUGUAUAUAUAUAUAUAUAUACAUAUAUAUGUGGACACGUUUGUGUGUUGGUUAUCUAUACACAGAUAUAUGUCUGUAUAUGUAUAUAUAUAGAUAUCCAUCUAUAUGGUAUGUAUAUAUGUGUGUGUGUGUGUAUAUAUAUGUCUAGAUAGGUGUGUAUAUAUAUAUAUAUAUAUAUAUAUAUACACACACACACAUGUAUAUCUGUAUAUCCAAGUAUGUAUGUGUUUCUGUGUCUAUGUGUAUGUAUGUAAAUAUAUAUAUAUAUGUAUGUAUGACUAGCAGGAGUACCCAGUGUUGCUUGGGUAUUAAAUACUUUGCAAUGGUCUUAAUAGGUUCUACCAUUUUUUGUUUUGUACAUCUCAGUGAAUAUUGUUUGCGUUAAGUUGCAAAAAUUGACAUUGAGGAAGAAGUGAUUUUUCCCAUAGACCAUAAAUAAAGUAGUAACAACAGGAUGAAAAGCCUGAGGCGGCACAUUUUUUACCACUAACUGCAUUCCGUUGCACAGACAUAGUGACUCCAGGUUCCUCAACAGCAUGAAUGGAGCUCCAAUUUUGAGGUGCAAUUGAUGAGGUGGUAGUCUGGAGGAGUCCAAGGAAUUGAGGAAUUCUGUGGGAAAAUUAACGGCGUCUUCUUGGUCCACAAGAGUGUCCACAGACUUGUAGGUGUGAAGGUUUCCAGAAGGGCUUUGCAGUAGGUCUUUAUUGAGUUUCGCAACAAAUGUGUUUUUGGGAGCUAAUAUGGCUCUUUUGCACAGCCAAUUCAGGUUUUGAUAGUUUAUGUGCAGAUCAGGAAAAACAGCAGUCAUAUAUGUGUAUAUAUAUGUAUCUUUAUAUAUAUCAUCAUCAUCGUUUAACGUCCGCUUUCCAUGCUAGCAUGAGUUGGACAAUUUGACUGAGGACUGGCAAACCAGAUGGCUGCACCAGGCUCCAAUCUUGAUCUGACAGAGUUUCUACAACUUGAUGCCCUUCCUAACGCCAACCACUCUGAGAGUGUAGUGGAUGCUUUUACGUGCCACUGGCACGAGGGCCAGUCAGGCGGUACAUGCAACAGCCACACUCAAAUGGUGUUUUUUUAUGUGCCACCUGCACAGGAGCCAGUCCAGCGGCACUAGCAACAACCUUGCUUGAAUGUUUUUCACGUGCCACCAGCACAAGUGCUAGUUUGGUGACACAAGUGCUAGUAUGGUGACACAAGUGCUAGUUUGAUCAGGCUCGAAUGGUGCUUUUUACCUGCCACUGACACUGAAGCCAGUUAGCUGCUCUGGCAAUGAUCACACUCAGAUGGUGCUCUUAGCACUCCUCUAGCAUGGAUGCCACUCAUCGAAUUUGAUUUCAAUUUCGAUUUUACUUGCCUCUACAGGUCUUCGCAAGCAGAGUUUAGUAUCCAAUGAAGGAAAGGUACGCAUAAGUGGGCUGGUUACACCCCUGGCAUAGGCCACAAGGUUAUGGUCUCAUUUGGCUUGCUGGGUCUUCUGAAGCACAGCAUAUUUCCGGAUACGUCCAGCCUUUAGGACAGCCCUGAAAGAAAAGAAAGAUGGACGAUGGUCACGUGUGAGCAAUGAGAAACGAGAAAGAUGGCUACUUAUAAAUGCCAAAACUUUCCCAGCUGAAGAAUGCACCCCUCAACAUAGAAUAGUAGUUAGUGACUUCAGGAUCAGGGCUAAAUCGAUGCCCAGAAGACAACCAGCAUAGAGAAGGGUCUGAAAGCUUUAGGAUCCUGCAAGUGGAUAUCACUCAAUGCUUAUGAUGAAACAGAGGGGCAUAUAGCAUCACUUGCUGUGGAAGACAACUGGAGGUUUAUACAGGACAACCUGUUGAGGGCUACUGACCAGAUCUGUGGAUGGUGCAAAGUCUCUUCUUGACACAGGGUAAUGUGGUGGUGGAACAGUGUUGUUGACAGGUCCAUUAGGGAAAAGAAACAGAUAUGGAAGGACUUGAAGAACAGUGGUAGCUGGGUAUUGUAUCAGAUUGCCAGAAGGGAAGCUAGGAGACAGGUUUACUUAGCCAGAGGGGAAGCAGAUACAAAAAAUUUGCCCAUGUUCUGCGUCAUGAGAACCAAAGACUUGAAGUGUUUUGUGUUGCAGGACAGUGUGAGAGAGAGAAUUGUGAUGUCAUAGAGACAUGUGUCCGAAUGGAUGAUGGUUCGCUUGCAUUUAAUGAGGCUGCAAGGUGAGAUACUUGGAAAUGCCACCAUGAAAGGUUGCUAAAUGAAGUGAAUGAAUGGGAGAAAGAGAGUCUGCCAAAUGUCAACCCAAUGGAGGGAUCAGCUAUUUGAAUUGACAGUACCUUGGUAGAUAAAGCAAUUAAGGGUAUGAAGACAGGGAUUAUAUCAAUAUGUGAUCAAGGGAUAUUAAAAAAAUUGCAAGCAAAAAUCAAACUUUUGGAGUUGAGAAGCAGCAAAACUGGAAUUUCCCAGAAGAAAUCAGAGUGCAGAACAGCCAAUCAAGUGCCUUCAAGAUCUUUAUGAUACUUGUAAAAAGAAGGAGAAACUUCAGCUUCGAUUUAGUUGAUCUAACAAAAUGUAUUAAUUCUUUGUUAUGUUUAAAAAUUUGCUAACAUUUAGCACCCUUUUUCUUAUACAGUUAUUUAAAAUUGCAAUGAAACCUAUAAAGUUAAGGAUAUGUAUUGUUAUUAAUUUUGUAUGUUAUCAAAUGCUUAUAGAUGCUUCUGUCUUAAAACAGCCUAGUUUUGAACUUCUGCAUAGAGCAAAAAAAUGUAUAAAUGCACCUUUGUUUCACAUGUCGCUUGCAUUUACAAGGAUUAAGGCAGCGGAAAUACUGAAUCUAGUGAUUAUAGUUUGAAAAGCCCAUAACUCCAAAACUACUUCAACUAGAAAGCUGAAAUUUUAGAUAUACUAUUUCUGAAUUUCAUUGAGUCAGCACACCAAGUUUGGUAAAAACUUGAGCAGGCAUAAAGAAAUAAUCCCCCACUCCCCCAUCUAGAAUUUUGUAUGAUUUAGGUCGAAAUUGGUGAUUGAUUUCUUAAGUUGGAGGUGAUGUUUUUUUUCAAAUAAAGCAAAAUAAAUGUUAGUUUCCUGACUUUUAUGAAAUUACUCAUCAAUUUACAGUAUAGGGUUAUUAGGUUGUGAAAAUGUCAAUCCUAAUGUAUGUAUGUGUAUAUAUAUAUAUAUAUAUAUAUCGUUUUUAGAAAAAACAUAAAUCCAGAGAAGUUCACUCUAAGAAGUAAAGCAGUCUAUAUUUUUUCCUGGUGAAGGCCAGUUCAUGGUUUACCUUGGGUUUUCUGUUCAUAAUGGGUUUAACUUUAUGGCGUAUUGUCAGACCUGAAGACCUGUUUGCCUACGACCUCUUUAAAAUAUGGAGGGGAAAUGUCUUCACUCUGUCAGAAAUUUGCAAAUGACAUGCUGUACUGCUUGGCACUUGUAUUGGGAGCUCUGAUGCAAACAUUUCAGGGUGUUUUGGUAUCAAUUUGAGGAUGUGUACUGAGAGUGAUAAAAAUCAAACAUUCAUUCAGUAUGUUGGUCUUUGGGAUGAUCACUAGUGAUGGUGACUUUAUGCCUCCCUUCAUCUUCCCACAGCCUAAAUAUGAUAGCCUUCAUCAAAUGCCUGGAGUUAGUCAGGAGGGUGGCUGCUGGAAGAUUCUAUGUCUGGCAACAGGACUUUGCACCAUGCUACACAAGCAAGAGAACCCAGUCAUGGCUGUCAGACAAUUUCUGCAACUACAUCACCCCUAACAUCUGGCCACAUGUGUAUUGUUUAUAUAUAUAUACACACACACACACUCACAUGCACUUGCAUAUAUACAUGUAUAUAUGUAUGUGAGCUCAUAUAUAUAUAUAUUUCAUGUAUGCUUAUUUGCUACACUUUUUUUGGCUCUCCAUUUUGUUUUUGUUCCCUUUAGUCUUUUUGGGUGAAGACCAUAGGCUCUAAAUGUCAAAGACUGUUCCUCUCUUUGCAAGCAUCAAACUAAUACACCUGAUUGUUGUUCCCUCACCUGUCUUCAUCUUUUGUUUUCUGUCAAUUUGAACAGUAAAUACAUUUAUAUAUAUAUAUAUAUAUAUAUAUAUAUAUAUAUAUAUAUACCUGUUUGUUUAUGUAUUUAUAUAUGUGCGUAUAUGUAUGUAUGUGUAUAUAUAUAUAUUAUCAUCAUCAUUUAAUGUCUGCUUUCCAUGCUGGUAUGGGUUAGCCGGUUUGACUGAAAACUGGUAAGCCUGAGAGCUGCACCAGGUUCCAGUCUGAUUUGGUGUGGUUUCUUUGGGUGGAUGCCCUUCAUAAUGUGAACCAUUCUGAGAGUGUAAUGGGUGCUAUUUACGUUCCACUGGUACAAGUGCCAUUUACAUGACACCAGCAAUGGCCACAAUUGCAAUUAUGAUUUAGCUAUAUGUAUGUAUAUUUAUAUCUAUAAAUAUAUAUGUAUGUCUAUGUAUUUAUGUAUAUAUUUGGAUAUAUGUGUAUGUAUGCAUAUAUCUGUAUUAUAUGUGUGUGUACUUACAUGCAUACAUAUAUAUAUAUAUAUAUAUAUAUAUAUAUAUAUAUAUAUAUAUAUGCAGUACUCCAACAUGGCCACAGCCUUAGGGCUGAAUCAUCUAAAAGAAUACACUCACACACAAACACACACACACAUAUAUGUAUGUACAUACAUAAAUUUGUAGGUAAUUAUGCUGAUAAACAAGUUAGAUACAUGAAAUGUAUUAAAUGUAAUAGUUUGGUUAUGAAAUACAAAAUAUGUCUAUAUGUGUACAUGGAAACGAGAGAAAGUAAAAGGUUGAAACUUUGAGAUCAUGAAUUUUUAGGUGUAUAGGUCCAACUUACAAAGUACAAAUGACAGAGAAAAUUAAAGAGGUGGAAGAAAGGUAUUAUAAGUCCAACAGCUGUUUCUGGGGACUCGGAGAUCCAUAAUAAUAUUAGUAGAUGUAAUAUUGAGAUCUGAAAUAUAAGACUUUCUCUACCCUUCAUGACAGAGAUAUGUCUUAUCCAAUGUUAAAUGCAUCCAGAUUUGAUCAAUAAGUGUCUGGAUUGUUGCCAUAGUAACUGCUUCUCAAAGAUUGACCUUGGACUCUGCUGUGCAUGCACACUAAGUUUUAAUGAUCUAACCCACUUACGCUGUUUACAGCAGUUCUUGGAAGGAAGUUGUGUAGCAUGUGAUUGUCGCAUUGACCAUGACAUAGAAAGUUGUCAUGGCAAUACCUGCUCAGAGGCCUACGCUAAGUUGCAGAAAGUGUACGGAGAGGAGUGUAUGAGUGGUUCAGACGUUUCUAAGAUGGCUGCAAAAAUGUCAAUAUUGACGAACGUUCUUGGAGACCCCAACCAGCAGAACUGAGAAAAACAUUGCAGUUGUGUGUACAGCUGUGAGGGGAAACCAUUGAAUCAUCAUCCGUGAGCUAUCAGAGGAUGUGUAGAUUAGUAAAUGUUUCGGUUCAGUUCAUUAUCACUGAAGAUUUGGGCAUGAGAUGCAUAUCUGCCAAGUUUGUGCCAAAUCUGCUUUCAGCUGGUGAAAAAAAACAAAAAACACUCAGGUUUCAGUUGCACAAGAUCUCCUUGGUUGUGUUGAGAACUAUGAAAAAUGUUUGACAAUUUUGUGUAGGCUUCUGAGCAGGUAUCGUCAAGCAGAUUGGUGCAGAUUCUCUGCUCAACUCUGUCAUGGCCAAUGUGAUGAUCUCAUGUUAUACACCUUUCUUCAAAGCACUGCUGUAAACAGUGGAAGUGAGUUAGAAAAUUAAAACCUGAUGCACAUACACAGCAGAGUUCAUGGUCAAUCUGUGCCAAGUGGCUUCACUCUGCACACUUUAGCUUUGUUACUAUGGCAGCAGUCCAGAUACUUAUUGAUCAGAUCAUGUACAACUGCAUAUUGUAGUGAACUACAUCUAUGAAUAUUAUUAUGGAUCUCAAAGACCCCAGAAACUGCUGUUGGACUUGCAACAGCUUUUUUCAACCCCUUUGAUUUUUUAUGUUGUUUGUAUUCUAUGUAAGUUGGACCUUUUAAUAUAAAUAUCUAUAUUUGAAAGUCUCCACCUUUAGCCUUCUCUCGUUUUGCAUCUAUACAUAUAGUCAUAUUUUGUAUUUCAUACCCAAACUAUUAUAUUUAAUAUAUUUAAUGUAUUUAGUUUGUUUAUCCGCAUAAUUGCUUCUAUACCUGCUGAACUUGAUUCCUCUUAUAACCAUUCUUUACCUUGUGCACUCGAACCCCUGUAAAGACAUCGGACUCUAAGUUUGAAUCCUUUGAGCACUACUAUGUACCUUCUAUACGGAGAAUGUAUGGAUCUCAUCUGUGGGCUACACACACACACAUAAAUGUAUAUAUAUGCAUGUUGUAUUAUACUUGUUCAAUAAAAAUCAUUUUCUUUGAAAACAGGUAAGUGUUAUGAAUAGGAAUAUUAAGGGACUGUAAAUGCCCUACUUACAUGUUACUAAUAAUGCUUUCCUAUAUGUAGAGUUACCCAUAUAUUUUGGGAAGAGGAUAUUUGUCUUCGUCUUUGAUAUUUUGGAACUUGGUUUUAUAUUUCAAAUACAUGAAGAGUUUAUGAUACCUUUGAUACCAGUUUUGGUUUGCUAACUGAACUUAAUUAUUUCUUGGGUAACAAUUCUCAUUGCUUUGAUAUAUCAGAAUAGCUGCUCUACUUCACAAUAGGUCGGCUUUGAUUGAAUUGAGUUGAGAUGAUUACAUUUGUUCCAGCCUAGCCCUUGUCUUUUGUUCAGGCAUGAUAUAUAAUCUUAUACUACAAUAACUGAUGCAUCCUUCCCUUCUAAGACUAUAAGGUCUAGUUUUAGAGAGAUUUAGCUGUAGCCUCUUGAAUUUUGAGUAACUCUGUGGAGGUUCCUAUUAUUCAGCAAAGCAUUAACCUGACUCUCUGUUAGUUAUGUAACUCUAAGAAAUACCACAUUAAUAUGCUAUAUGUUCAAUACCACUUGUAUUGUUGUUUUGUUGUGCAUCAGUGCGAUAGAUUGAAAUACUUUGCUGCUGAUCAUUUGUGUGUGUAUGUUUGUAUACUUAUUUACAUAUGCACAAACAACUGUUAUAUGACACCAGUAUUGAUAAAAAGUAAAUUGUCCCGUUCAUUGGUUGCCAUUGCUUCAUACGGGUCGUAUAAUUUGACAUUUUUCAGCAUUUCUCUUUAAAUUGUGGUUGGAAAUGGGCAGCUAAACUAGAUAUUCCUGUUUGUAUGUUUGGUUCUUUAUUGUGUUUGUGCUGUUUUUAAGUGCAUACGUUUAAUUUUGUGUUCUGGAAUUAGAGUAAAACUGUCCCUGCUCCCCACCCCCAGAGAUAAGCAGAAAAAAAAUGUGGAAAAAGAACUCCAGUAUUUGAAUGAAAUUCUGUGAAAUAUAUUGAAAGUCAGCUUAUGUUGAGUGGUUGGUCUCAUGAUACUUGCUACACUCUUCUUUGUUUUGUUGUGUUAUAUACUUACAUAUGAACAUAUAUAUAGGUUAAUGUUUGUUUUUAUAUUUAGUCGUAAUAUAUAAAAAAUUUUACAUUAGUCUGAGAGGGUUACUCUAUAUUUUUGUAGUGUACAAGUUUGUUCUUAUACAAGAAUAUUGUUGACAAUGAUUUUGAAGUUUUAGCCAUAUGACAAUGGUUCAAAUGGUCAAAACUUCAAAGUUACUUUUAACAGAGUCCGCAAAAAAAAAAAAUGUAUACACACUUCAGGAAAGGAAAAAUCUGUAUAGAUAUUUAACUUGUGUAAGUACCCCUAUCAUAUUGUGAUAGUGAAUUAAAAUAUUUAUACAGAUUUUUCUUUUCCUGAAGUGUGUACUGAAAAUCCUCGAGUAUAAUCCGCAUUUUUUCCCCAAAAUUUAAAGGUCAAAAUCCCUAGUGCUUACUAUAUACGAGGUUAAAAAUGAAAAUUAUUUUCUAAGCAAUGUCCAAAUCUCUAUUUGCUGUCCGGCAAUGUUUAUUCAGACGCAUUUUGUGAUGUUGGGCGUGAAAAUACCUUAAGCUAAGCCUGAAAGCAAUGAAGUCAUAAAAGAAUCAUCCAUAACUUGCUGUAAUCAAAAUUUAUUAAACGUUAUUACUGUUAUUUCUCUAUUUUCUGCAAACAAAAUGCACAUAAAAGCUACACAUUUGCAUUAUGUUAUACAUACAAUAAUAAUAAAGGACGUUACUGUAUACAUUUUUACAAACCAAGGACUUUAUAUAGGCCUCCUUGACUCAAGUUGGAGAAGGGGUGCGUAUUAUACACAAAGUUUAGGUUUUUCAGAGGUACAGCCCCCUAAAAAUCCUCUGUAUAUUAUACUCAAGGGCAGACUAUACUCAAGGAUUUACAGUAUACUUUUUUUUUACAGACUUUGUGUGUGUGUCUGUGUAUAUAAUGUACAUAUAUACUUAAAUACUGAGAGAAGAGUGCAUAUAAUCCAAGAGUGUAUAUGUGUGUGUAUAUUCUUGUGUGUCCCCAUGCAUUUGUAUGUCCUCUUGCUUUGACAUGUAAUACUUGUAAAUAAGCAUCAUGAUCAUUGAAGGUAUUGUUUGUUUUCAAUCUUCUAUGAAGCCUGUCUACUCAAGGGGAAAUAUUACCUUGCUUGGAAAUGAGGGGUUGGCAAUAGGAAGGGCACACAGCCAUAGAAAAUCUGUCUUACCCAUACAAGCAUAGAAAAGUGGACCUUGAAAUAAAAAUAAUCUACCUAUGUGUUUAUUUAUAUAUAUUUCUGUGUAUGUGUGUACAUAAUUUAUGUACAUGUGUGUAAUUCUUCACAUAUGCAUGUAAAGCGGCAUGCUGUCAGAAACAUUUAUCCAUGUUCAGAAUUGUUGAUGUGUGAAAUAAACAACCCUCACCUGUUGUUAGCCGUCAGGACACUGCAUCCUUCAAAAAUUCAAUGCUUCCCAAAAUUCGAUAACAUUACUCCUGACAUGCUUACACAUUAUUUCCUCUUCGUGGCUCUUUUACUGUUUACUUAUCUUUCUUUUUUGUUGUACUGUGCCUGAAUUUUUGACUCUUGUUGCUGUUUUUCUUUAUUUGACUUAUUACUGCUUUUUGUCCUUCAUUCCUAUUCUUUUUUCCAACUGAUUGUUGUGUACCUGAUUACUGCAUACCACGAGCUCAUUAUUAUGAAGGUGGUGAGCUGGCAGACUCGUUAGUGCGCUAUUUCACCUGUCACUAUGUCCUGAGUUCAAAUUCCACCAAGGUUGACUUUGCCUUUCAGCCUUCUGGGGUUAGUAAAAUAAGUACCAGUUGAACACUGAAAUCGAUGUAAUUGACUCAUCCCCCUUACCCAAAAUUGCUGCCCUUGUGACAAAAUUUGAAACUAUUAUUAUUAUUGUCAGAAGGUGCAGGCAUAACUGUGUAGUUAAAAAAUGUGCUUUCCAACCACAUGGAUGUAGGUUCAGCCCUAUUGUACAUCACCUUGGGAAAGUGUCUUCCACUAUAGUCCUGGGUUGACCAAGGCAGAUUUGGUUGAUGGAAACUGAAAGAAGCCCAUCUUGUGUGUGUUUGUGUCUCUUUGUCUUAAUGUGUGAUAGUUGUGACUAUUGCUGUCAUAAUGUGGUAUCAUCUGUUUCCAUUGUUCUGUGCAAACAUGUCUGGUGAAAGGGAAAUAUUACCUUACAUGAAAGCAGACAAGGUUUUUGGUGACAGGAAGGGCAUGCAGCAGUAGAAAACCUACUUCAGUGAAUUCCAUCUGACCCAUGUAAAUAUAAAAAAGUGUACUCUGAUAAUGAUGUGUGUAUGUGAUCCUUUCAACAUUCACUUUUCUAUGUUUGCAAGGAUAAGAUGGAUUUCAUUGAGGCAGAAUUUUUGCAGGUAGACACCCUUUCUGUUGCCAAGCCCCACUUAUUUCCAAGUAAGAUAAUAUUCCUCAUAAUCAAGCACUUUUUCAUGGAACAUUGGAAAUGAACAACAUCGCUUGUAAGACACUGAUGAUUGUUUACAACAAUUGUGUAUUGUCAAGACUAGGGAACACACACAUUUGUAUGUGUAUAUCUACCUAUACAUACAUACAUACAUACAUAUAUAUAUAUAUAUAUAUAUAUAUAUAUAGUAGAAAUUAUAUGUACAAGUAGAUGUACUUGAUAUAAUAAAGUAUUUCCUGAGGUUCUGUUAGAAUGAGUAUCUAUUGUGGGCUCCAAACAACCAUAAUAGUGCAACAUGUAGAAACUUCGAUAUAAACUGUGUUUAUCCUUAUUUCUCUUAUAUAUCUGUAUAUAUAUAUAUAUGUAUAUAUAUAUAUAUAUGUGUGUGUGUGCUUGUACCAUGUAAAAAGCACUAAGUCUACUCUGCUGAGUGGUUGGUGUUAGGAAGGGCAUCCAGCUGUAAAAAUUCUGCCAAAAUAGUUAUGGAAGUCUGGUGCAGGCUUCUACUUGGCUGGUUCCUGUCAAACUAUCCCACCCAUACCAGCAUGGAAGGCCGACUUUAAGCAAUGAUGAUGAUGAUGUGAUGUUUUCUAUUGUUUCAGUUUCUGUCUAUCAAAUCCACUUACAAGGUGUUGGUCUUCUCAGAACUAUUGUAGAGGACAGACACUUGCCCAAGGUACCUCACAGGGGGACCAAACCAGAAACUUUUCAGCCAUACCUAUCAUAGUGAUGCUAAACCUAUCAUAUAUAGGAUCAUGUACAUGUAUAUAUAUGCAUUACUGAUGUAAAUUGUAACCAUAACUCUCAACUUUCCAUUUCAUAUUUAUUCCAAUAGGAUUUGGCGUCAAGAAAUGUUCACCUAUUCUUACUCAUAUAUUAAACCUUUAAUGGUCACAUUUUUUGAUGAAGUAAAAUGCUCAUGUGCUUGAUUCACUUUUGAAAAUAAUCAAGAAUUUAAAGCAAUUUAAGAAAAUAUCCAAUUUUUUUAUGAAUGUUCACGUUAAUCCUUUUCAUAUCAACCCACCCAAAACUGCCUCUGGUUCUUUGAUACAAACUUUGUUUUAAACUGAUCAAAAUUAAAACCUCUGUAAUAGUGAUGAACUUAUUUUAACAAAUUCUUUGUCAUUUUCAAAAUGAUUUGAAACAAAAGCAAACAGAAAUAAAGUAACAAAUGGGUUAAGCUAACGUUUGGAAAGGUGUUUCUCAACUGGGGUCCGACUCUUGGUGGUCUCGUAAGACUUUUUAAAAAUUUGUGCAAUAAACUGGUUAUACUUCUGUAAUACUCAAAAUAUUUUAAACAUUGAAAUGGCUAUGUGAGUCCAACCAAGCAAAAUAGGAGUCAAAAGGGGUCCAUAGGUAAAGACAAUGUUGAGAACCACUGGCUUAGAACUGAAUCUUAAUGGAAACAUUUUUGCUUGUAUGUUAUUAGAUCAGGUUUUUCAUUUUAUGUGAAGUGUAAAGCGGACAAUUUUUGCAGUAUACAACUAGAUGCAGUCUCGGAUUGAUUUGUAUCAAAGGAGUUAAAUAAUCAAAAGUCUAUCUACAUACACUGCCUAUGUGUAUAGGUGGUGUAUACACACAUAUAUUUUUGUUUAGCUAAUGUUAUCUAUCUCAGUUGCUAACAUGAUGAGAUGGUAGUAGAAGUGAGAAUGAGAAACUUUGUUAGUUACCAAAAAUUUUCAGUGAAAAAUGUCAAACUGAACCAAUAUCCAAUUUAUUAUCAUCUAAUCAAUAUUAAGGUGCAUUCUCUGUUUUGACAGUUGGUCUCACCACCACUUUUUCUUACACUUGGUUCCCCCUCGCCCGCUUUCCUUUCCUUCCAUUUACAUUUUAAUUUCUUCAAUUUCUUCUGCCUUUUUUCCUUCUUUUUCGUUUUCUGUUUUCAUUUCAUUCCCAUUUCUUCUCUUUACGCUUUCCUUUAUUUCUUUCAUUCCUUCUUUCUUCAGUUCUUUCUGUUUUCAUUUUACUUUCUUUGUCUAUUUCUCUUUUGCUCCUCCUUCACUUUCCUAAAACAUUGUCUAGUGUUCUUGACCUUUCUAAAACAUAGUUAAUGAAACGAAACUAGUAUCAAGAACAGGAGGUCAUGGAGGGAGCAACUUCAUAGACAAGAUAAAUAAUUAAGAAAAAUACCUGACAAGAACAAUAAAAAUGCAAUAUAUUUGUGUAACUUUCUAAUGUCAAUUGAGAAAUAACCUGCUGUAUGUAUUAAUACUUUUGUGUGAAAUUUUGGUAAAGUGGAUAAUGAUACCAAUCGAUCGACUUAUUGAUUUAUUUCAAAUUUGACCGGUUGUCGAAUGUUCAGGUUGUGUCCCUGUCUUCAUCAUCACUGUAUAUUAUGUAGAUUUAGUGGAAGAAUGUUCUACAAAACAGUAUAUGUUGUUUCUUUAGAUGAUGAAUUAGUGAAGUUGAAUAUGAGAGAGAGAAAAAAGAUGGAAGAUGUCUUAAACAUGUACAUUAACACAUCUACCUAUCUAGUAAAUUCAGUGUAUUUUUAUUAUCCCAUCCUUUCCCCCGAACUUAUACAGACAGAUAGAUAAAUAUUUUAUUAGAUUUUUUUUUUCUCAAAGAUAUUCUACUUUUAGCUGGGAGUUUAGCUUCAUUUACUGUCAGUUUGAUAAUGGAGGAGGAAAUUAGAAACUUAGUUGGUUAUUUUGAUACCAGCCCACCCAGGAUCAGCUCUGGUUGUGAGAUAGGAAAAUAUCUUGUUUUGAAUUGUUUAUAUUUAAAUAGAAAACAAAAUUAUAAUUUCAUGGUAGAUACCUUCUGUUAAGAUUUGCUUAAUAUCGACAAAAUUGCUGUAAAUUGUUAUUUUUGGAAUUUAGUUGGAAUGCUUACACAGAAAAUUUCAUUACAAAAUCUUGUCAGAAGAAGGUUAAAUUUCGGUGGAAAAUGUUUUCAAUUUCAAACUUUUAUAUUAUUCAGUUUUAUCAUUGUGACAAUGUAUUCCAUGAGAAUUAAGAUGUUUGAUAUAAAAUGCUGUCUGAUGUUGUUGUAUAACUAUAUAAUUGAUUGUAAUUUUAAAAAAUACAAAAAGCAGAACAAACACACCAAACAGUCCCAAAACGCUAGUUAAAAGUGAAUUGUAAAUGAGUUGAAAUUCACACACAAACACACACAUUUUUGAAGACAGGUAUGCAAACAAAUGUUUUUUUCUAUUUUUUUUCUUUGUAUUCUGGUUACUAAAAAAAUAUACUACAUAAAGAUAAGCAUAUUUUAUUUAAACUGUGGUAUUAUUAAUAAAAUACUUCAUUUGUAUCUCAUUCAUUAUGCUAUUCUCCCCACUCUUCCAAUCAGCUCUCUAUCUGUUUCCUUUUGCCAUUUUAAGUGAUUUUUGAAUUGUUGAUGACAAUUCUCUAUUAUGGGAAAUUCUUUGAUUUGCACUUUCAUUUUAUAUCUGGCAACCUUUUGAAUUAGAAAAGUGAGAAAAAUGUGGGGAAAAAAUGUAAUAGAAAUCUUUUAGGGGUUUUAAAAGGUAAAUUAUUUUUAGCUAUAGCCUAUUUUCAUUUCAAUUUCAAACUUACAAUAAAACUUUGUAUAUGUUUCAUUAAAAACAUUGUAAUAAAAGAACACCCUUUCCUACACUGACUAUUUGAAUGGAAUAGGGAAGCUUCCUGUAUGGUUAGGUAUACAACCACACACAGCAAACAUAAGGUAUAACUGUUAAUAAGGUUAUUUCUAUGUAUGUAUCUUUAAGGGAUUUCAGUGUGUGUGGUUAUCUUUUACUUGUUUCAGUGAUUAGCCUGUGGCGAUGCUGGGGCACUGCCUUGAAGAACCUUUAGUCAAAUGAAUCAACCCUAGUACGUUUUUUUUUAAAGCUUGGUACUUAUUCUAUUGAUCGCUUUUGCUAAACUGCUAAGUUACAAAGACAUAAACACAUGGUGAUGUGGGACAGAUGCGCACGCGCGCGCGCACACACACACAUGACAAGCUUUUUUCAAUUUCCAUCUACCAAAUCUCCCCCACAUAGUUUUGGUCAGCCCAAAUCUAUAGUAGAAGACACUUGCCCAAGGUACCACACAGUGGGACUGAACCCUGAACCGUGUGGUUGGGAAGCAAGCUUCUUACCACACAGCUGCACCUGUUCCUUAUGUGUAUGCAUGCACAUAAUAUACAUAGUCUGUACAAGAUGUGUCAGAAAAGAAAAGCUGAAAUUUAAAAAAAAAUACUUAGCAUAAGAGGAAUCAAAGGUAGUAUGCAAGAGAGAAGACUACACUGAUAUGGACAUGUAAUAGAGGAUGCUAGCUGGGUAAGGACACACCAAACAGGUGGAAGGAAACUGUGGAAGAUAAAAACUGAGGAAAAAGUAAUGAAAGCUGACGUCAGGAGACAAAACUUCAUGAAGGUGAUGUCAGUGAACUGUUUACGAGUGGUGAGAUGCUAUGAUGAAGCAGACUCAUACAACCCAUGUAAGCAUGAAGAUACAGAAGUAAAAAGAACUUUAAAAAUUAUCACACACACACCUGUUUAUAACUACUGACAUUCAUCAUUAUUUACAAAGCAAUAUUAAAUUCUGUAGCUAAGUGAUUGUAUGCAAGUGUAUGUGUGCAAUGUGUUUAAAUUAGCUGCUUUUUACAUUUAUAUAUAUAUUUCUUUUAUUAUUUUUUAUGUCUGACAAGUAAUCUUUACUAAAAACACUCCCCAAUAUACCAGUCAUUAUUUCUUUUUUGAUUAAAGAAUGUAAUUAUUAUUUAUCAUGUAAUGCAGCUCUUAUAUAUAUGUGUGUAAAAGUCUAUAAUUUGGUAAUACUAAUAAUAAUCCUUUUUACUAUAGGCACAAGACCUAUAAUUUUGGUGGGAGAGGACUAGUCACUUACAUUGACCUAGUAAUAAUAAUAAUAAUGAUGAUGAUGAUAACAAUAAUAGUAAUAAUAAAAAUAAUAAUAAUUUCAGACAUUUGUAGAAGGUAACAAAUUAAACGUUGGAGUGAAUUCACUUGACAUACACACACACACAUAUAUAUAUAUAUAUAUAUAUAUAUAUAGUCUUCCAUUUCACACUGUACUGGGUUGUCCUUGGUGAGUUCGACUAGUAUAUAAAUUUUUCUGAGAAACUCUUUCUUGCCCCACAUUCAAUCUUCAUUUUUGGAGAAAGGGACUUUGUGAGUGGUCUCCUGUAGUUGCUCUCAUGGCACAAUAUAGCAAAUUCACUGAGAGAGUGAGAGAAAGAGAGAUCAACCUCUUUACUAUUGACUUUGAAGGGAUGGAAGGCAAAUUUGACCAUGCCAGGAUUUGAACUCAGUGGGUAGAGCCAGAACCAAAACUUUCAGGCAUUCUACCCGACACUGGAACAACUCACCUACCAAUUUGCUUAAAUAUACAAAAAAAAAACAAACAAACACACACACACACACACAGGGUGGGCCAAAAGUCAAGCACAAAAUAAGUUCAGUACGCUCUGGAAUUGUCAAAAACAUGCUUCAAUUUUUCUAAAAUUGAAUAAAAUAAAUAAAAUUAUGAGGAAUACACACAUACUUGUACUUGAUGAACAAACUGAAUAAUAAUAAUAACAAUAAUAAUUCUUUUUACUAUUGGCACAAGGCCUGAUAUUCUGGGGGAGGGUUAAGUUGAUUACAUCAACCUUAGUGCUAUACUGGUACUUAUUUCAUUGAACCUGAAAGGAUGAAAGGUAAAGUUGUCCAGAAUUUGAACUCAGUGUGUAGUGAUGGGUGAAAUACCACUAAGCUUUUUGCCCAGCAUGCUAACAAUUCUGCCAUCCUGCUGUCAUGAUGAUGAUGAUAAUGUAAUAUAAAUUAAAUGUCAAAUGCUUUGAUUCAUGGCUUUUGGCCCACCCUCUGUGUAUGUAUGUAAAUGUAUAUAUAUAUAUAUAUAUAUAUAUAUAUGUAAAAGUAAAAAAAAUAUACAAACUGGGACAAGAACGUGAACUUCGAAAGUCAAGAACCGGAUCAUCUUCGCAAUUUCGGCUGAUUAAUCUUGAUUAUCUAUAUAUAUAUAUAUAUAUAUAUAUAUAGAUAUAUGCAACAGAUUUUCUCAUUUUGAAUUGCAUCUAACGCUCAAAAUUUGAAAAGCCUUAGUGAAAUCAGUUAUUAUGUUAGAGGGCAAAAAUCUUAUUUUGUGUAAUAUUGUAUAAUACUUUUGCUAUGAUAAUUCUAAUAUAUUCUUUAGCCUAGUAAAACAAAUCUGUGUUUUCUUCAUCUUAUUUCUUUGUAUAUAUAUAUAAAAUUUGCCUAUAUACUUGAGAGUGAGUGAGAGGUUUGGUGAAAGAACCCCCCACAAAGGACUCUCUCUCUCUCUCUCUCUCUCUAUAUAUAUAUAUAUAUAUAUAUAUAUAUACACAUACAUAUAUAUACACAUACAUACAUAUAUAUAUAUAUACACAUACAUACAUACAUACAUACAAACACACACACACAUAUCAGUUAUUUAUUGAAUAUUUAUUCCUUGUGAGAACAAAAAGCAAAAUCAACCCUGAUACGAUUUGAAACCAAAUCAUAAAAAGAUAUAACUCAAUAUGGCAAAAUAUUUAAUACAUAUGAUUAAGAAUAAAAUACUUGCUUUUCUGCCAGAGAAAUUCCUACCCUGCUUACCUGCGAAUCAAAAUUACAUAUAAAAUCUGAUGGUAUUGUACAAAAUUUAUUUCUAACCAAAGAAAUGGAGGAGGAGUAAGCUUAUGAAACUGGAAGGAAAAUUUACUAUUUUGUCUCCCCCUCCCCAUUGUUGAUCUCAAUUUUCUGAAUUUUUUGACUACUACUACUACUACUCACUUAAAAAAAAAAAAUUGUAAUUUUAGUAUCUGACUUCAUGGUUUAUUCUAUUUUAUUUAUUUUCUUUAAAAGAAAUGGAUUUGAAGAAAGAAUAUUUUAAUUUUUUUGUUUGAAAUGGGUAGGAGAAUGGGAGAAUGCUGUGUUUUUAAAAAUAAUUGCAAUGUCGAAGAGAAAUAACAAUAAUAUUUAUAAUAAUGGUAAUAAUUAGUUAGUGAAGUGUUGAAUAAUAAUCACAGUGAUUUUUAAAGCUACUGCUGAGAUAAUUUCAAUAAAUUUAUGUCGCUAUUCAAACUGCUGGCUUGAGAGAGAGGUGAUGCUGGUGCAGACAAGAGAGAAGUGAAUCUUGUAUUUCAGGGUAUUUUAUUUGAGAGCUUGUAUUAUUUCGCAAGUUCAAAUUCUGCGUAGGUUGACUUCGUUUUUUUUUUUUUUUUAUUAUUGAUAUAGGAUUAAUUAUAAAGAUAACUAUUACUUUCGAAAGAUUGAAUUAAAUGACUAUGAUUUUUCUAAAGUAGAAACAAUAUUAUUAUUAUUAUUGUUGUUAUUAUUAAGGUAGUGAGCUGGCAGCAUCGUUAGCACAUUGAAUGAAAUGCUUAGCAACAUUUCUCCCAGCUCUUUAUAUUCUGAGUUCAAAUUCCACUGAAGUUACCUUGCUUUUCAUCAUUUCACAGUUGAUAGUAUACGUACAAGUUGAGCAAUGGGAUUGAUGUAAUCAACUAACCCCCUUCCCUCAAAAUCUCUGGCUUUGAGCCUAUAAUAGAAAGUAUUAUUAUUAUUUUUAAGGUGAUAAGUGGGUAGAAACAUUAGUAUUCUGAAGAGAAUGCUUUGUGGAAUAUUUUCUGGCUUAAUGUUCUGUGUUCAAAUGCUACCAGUUGAGCACCAGGCUUGAUGUUAACAACUAACCUCCCCUCUCACACCACCACCACCACUAAAAAAAAAAAUUGCUAGCCUUGUGUCAAAAUUAGAAACCAUGAUUAUUAUAAUUAUCUUUAUUAUUUGUCUUUUCAUACUUACAUGGUCAGUAGAACAAGUAUUGGGAAGGCAGGGAAGCAUCAAGUUUGACUUUACUCUUUCCCACUAAAAUUUGUCAUUAUUAUAUAUCCCCAGGUCAGCACUGAUAGAGCAGAGCUAUGAUCAAAGACAUCCCUACCAUGACCUUUACAGUUUCAUUUCAAAUAUUGUAUCUCCCUUUAUUUUUGCUAAGAAUAUGAUAGUGUUUUUUUUUUUUGCAUGCGUCUGUUUUUUUUUUAUAGAAAGAUUUGACUGCUAUUUCUAGCACUUUGUGUGACCACAUAGAUGCCAUUUACUAGCUAAAAACAAGAUUCUCGUUUUUGGUAUCAGUUGGAUGGAUCUGCAAUAUAACAGCUUCCAAUGCAUUGAAAUUCUGCGUCAUCACUCUGGCAUGGCCUACCUCUUUACAAAAGCUGGUGUUGUGCUGAGUUGAAGCAAAAUCAUUAUUCAAGAUGGUUGCCUACUAGACCUGAUGUCAUGAUUAUUAGCUCCCACACUUCCUAGUAUAUGUAAUAUAUAUAAAGCCAAGUUUCAACUGGCUAGCUAGGUAGGUAGCUAAAACUGACUAACCGAUCAAAAUUUCUCUGCUAAUAUGGCCAUUAGCUAUGUUUUAUAUAGAUUAAUUUUAGUUGUAUUGAUUUUCAUUUUUUUCCUUAUUUUGUUCAUAAAAACCUCAAAUUAUGUAUUAGACCUCAUUUGACUAACAAGUCUGGCUUUGGAUAAACAAAUCCCUGCUGCAGAUUUUACAAACAUUUUCAGACAGAAAAGUAUCUGAGAUUGAAAUUAAGACCUGUUUAUGAAGUGCUUAUUUUAAGUGGGAUUGUAGAACACUACUUUCCAAACCAAUUGAUCUUCCAUCAACCUCUCUGUCUUCAACACUUACAUUAAGAACCUUAAAGUUGCUUUUGAUGGCAACCCUAAAACGUUUCUUUGGUUUAUGACUUGGAUGUUUACUAUGUUGCAACUCGCUGUAAAACAACUGCUUAGGUAACCUGUCAUCCUGCAUUCUAGUCAUCCCAGUUCAACACAUAUGAUUGUGUAUGAGGAACAUUUCAGUACUGUGUGUGUGUGUGUGUGUACAGAUGCAGACGUGGUUGUGUGAUAAGAAGUUAGCUUUCCAAAUUCAUGGUUCUGGGUUUAGUCCUAUAGUAUGGCACCUUGGACAAGUGUCUUCUAUAGCCCCUGGCUGAACCAAAGCCUUGACAUGAUUUGUUAGAUGCAAACUGAAAGAAACUCAUGUGUAUGUGUGUGCAUAUUUGUGUGUUUGUGUUUGUCCCUCCACCAACAGUUGACUACUGGUAUUAGUUUGUUUACAUCCCCAUAAGUUAACGGUUUGGCAUACAAGACUGAUAGAGUAAGUACCAGGCUUAAAAAAAAAUAAGUAAUGGAGUUGCUCUAUUCAACUAAUCCCUGACAAGACAUUGCCUGGGCCUGAAUGCAAUGACUGAAACAAAUAAAAGAUAAAAGAUAUUCAUUAAAGCGACUAUACCUGUGCAGAUUUAUGUACAUUGAAUCUAUGAGGUCAAUACAGUAAUCCCUCGACUAUUUCAAGUGUUACAUUCGAAGACCCCACCGCAAUAGAUGAAAAUCCGCAAAGUAGAAACAGUCCUGUACUGCGUAUUUUCUAAAAUCAUUUUUAUAAUUUGUAUAUAUUUAUUUUACUAUAGAUGUAAAACACCACCACGGAGGAAUCGACGUAAGCUUAAAUAAUAAACUGCGAUAUGGCGAAGGAUUACUGUAUAUUGUUAAUCUAUUCAUUUAAAAUAUAUAAGUAUAUUUAUAGUGGUAGUAUUCUUUAACAAGUUGCAAGUCAGUGACCUCUGUGAUUAUUUAAAGAGAGGGAUGAAAGCUCAAAUACAAGUGUAUCUUUGUUUCAUUUGAGAAUGUAAAUUGGUGCCUUAAGCCCUUUUUAGGCAUAACUGAUUUAUAGGGAUAACAUAAUGUUAAAGAAACUAAUAGUUACCUAUAUUAUUGUUUAAUGACAUUUGUGUGCAAUGGGAAGGAUAUAAUUUUUAUGUUUCAAGACAAACUUACUGCCUGAAAGGAAAUAAGUUUUUUCUUAAAGGACCCUACAUGAAACACCAUUCUUGAAAUUCAUGAAUUUGAAUGAGUUUGUGUACUAUAUGGAGGAGAUGAUAUUGAUGUUUCAUGUCAGGUCCUUUAAGAAAAAGCUUAUUUCCUUUCAGGCAGUAAGUUUGUCUUGAAACAUAAAAAUUAUAUCCUUCCCAUAGUACACAAAUGUCAUUAAACAAUAAUAUAGGUAACUAUUAGUUUCUUUAACUCUUUAGCAUUCACAGUAUUCUGUCAAAUAUAAUGUUUAUAUAAACAAAUUGUUCUAAAUUAAUCAUUGUAGCAUUGCAAUUUCGAUGAUGUGAUUGUUUAUUCUUAGAAUGUCAUUCUGUGGUAGGUUUGUUAGGCCAGAUCAGGACAGUUUGAAUAUAAAAUAGGUAGAAUAUUUGGGCUGGAUAUGGCUGGUUUAAAUGCUAAAGGGUUAAUAUUUUUAUUUAUAGUUUGAGAUUAUAUCAAUAGUAGUCGAAGUUUGAGGGAGAAAGAGGAUGAGGUUCAAAUCUUUGCAUUUUGGUGUGUAAGGAAGCAUUGGUAGUCUCAGCUGUAGGAAGGAUUGGUAGUAGUAGAAGUGAUGGGGGGAAAUUUUCACAUUUUGGUCAGUGUCACUAAUUUUUUCUUCACACGAAACAUACUAUCUGAUGUUUUAUUUUUCAGUCUUGUCCCUCAAUUCAGUCCCUUCUACCACUUAUAUUAUGGCCUUCAAACUUCAAGGGUAUGCCUUGGCACUUGCCACCAGCUAUAUUUCUCUCUUCCUUUACUCAACCAUCUUAUUGAUAUUCUGAUACCUGUCUCUUACGAGUAUGCUUGGCACUUUACCACCAUUUCUAUCCUACUAUCUCCCUCCAUCUCUCUCUCUCCCCCCUCUCUCCCUCUCUCUCUUUCUGCACUUUCCUUAGGUUGGGUAACCAUGUAUCACCUUUGCGGCAGCACACCUGUGUCUGUCUUCAUUCCUGGUCUCUCUCCGGCCAGGUAACCUUGUACCUCCUCUAAAGCAAGACACCUGUUUCUGUCUCUCUGUCUCACUAUAACCUUCCGUCAUCUGACACAAGAUCACCUCCUCCAAUGCCCCCUUUCCUCUCAAAAGAUUUUUGUUUUGCAAGUUACUUGAUGACCCUGUCAGUACAGGUGCCACUUAAAAAGCAUCCAGUUGACACUGUAAUUGGUUGGCAUUUCGAAAGGCAUACAGCUGUAAAAACCUUGCCAAAACUGAGCUUGCCUGUGCUUGUGCCACAUAAAAAGCACUAAGUCCACUUUACUGAGUGGUAGGUGUUAGGAAGGGCAUCUAGCUGUAAAAAUCCUGCCAAAACAGUCACAGAAGCUUGGUGCAGGCUUCUGCCUGGCUGGUUUCUGUCAAACUGUCCCAUCCAUGCCAGCAAGGAAGGCAGACAUUAAAUGAUAAUGAUUAUAUAUAUAAAGUGGUUAUUUAUUUUGUUGAGUCCCAAUAGGAAUAAAAUGCAUAGUCAACCUUGGCUGGUUUUGAAACCAGAGAUAUUAUUCAAUAAUGCAAAAACAUCUUCCCAACACCCAUCCCUCCAUCACUCUUCUCACUAUGGCACUACUUACUCAAGUGCUGUAUUUAUAUGCUCCAUUUCUGUGCUGUCAGAGUGGAAACAAGUGACACUGCUUGCAUGUGACAGUAACACUCGUUUACAACUAUCAUGCAAUGUUGAGAGGGGGAAAGACACACACACAAAAGCUGCUUUCAGUUUCAGUUUCCUUUUACCAAAUCCAUUUGUAGGACUUUGGUCAACCCAUGGAUAUAGUAGAAGAUACAUGCUCAAGGUGUCACACAGUGGGACUGAAUCUAGAAGCAUGUGGUUUGGAAGUAAACUUCUUACUACACAGCCAUGUAUUCUUAUAAAUAAUUAAUUUUGUUUCAUGAAACCAAUCUUUGCCAAUGCAUACACUCACAUAGAAAACAAGAGGAUUGUUUCCUACAAUUCAAACGACAACACUACACCUAUCUCUUUUCUUCAUAAUCAAACAAAAAGUAAAAGUCCUGCAAAAAUUCUUAACUCCUCACCACAAGUGAACUUAUCAAACUCUAUGAACAUUUUUUUCUAUGGUUAGUACUAGAAAGAGGAUUUUAUUGUUUGAAGAACAAACACAUCACACACAAAGUAAAUAAAUAUAUAAAUGAAAGUAAUGUUGAAUUAUCCAUUGCUUUUGUUGUUGUUGGUGGUGAUGAUGAUGAUGAUGGUGAUUGAAAUGGCAACAUUGAAGGUUGUUGGUGAGAGCAUAUAACAACAAUGAUGACAUGUGAGAAAUAAUGUUGCUCUCCUUCUUCUGUUCUUUGAUUUGUUGUUAUAAAAGCUUUAUUGGCUGUUUUUCAAUUGAUUGAUGCUAUAGUUAUGUUUGUCUUUUUGUCUACCAACACAUGAUUCUGAGUCUGUUACAUUAUACACAAGUAGUUUAAAGUUGUUUGUACAUUUGUCUAUCUCGUAAUUUGAAACACUGCUGAUCAAGUAUACCCAUGGACAUGCUAUAUAUUGUCUUUUUCAAUAGUGAAGUUGCUCUUUCUUUUACUUAAAGAGCCACAAAUUUAUCAUGAAUUUUAGAGGAUGAUGGUUACAGUUUUCAUCAGCCAAUUUUAUCUCCAGAGCAAUAUUUAACUUAACUAUAUCUCCAUACUGCAAAAGUUGAAAAAAAAAAAGAAAAAAAUUACAAGCUAUAAGUGAUCAAUAAGAUCAAUAUAUUCCUAAGGCACUAACAAAACAUCUUGGUAAACUAUGUGAAGGUGCUGAGACGUACUUUUUGUGCUUAUCUUUUCAAAAUAUUUGAGUUGAAAUUGCACUUUUAGUGUUGAAGAAUCUUUGACAAUGGGAUAUGCAGUAGUUGGCCAAAUGAAAUAACUAUGAUCCACAGAUCCAAGGCACUGAUUAUCCUAUAUGGGAAAAUUUCUGGCUUGAUCUAGCAAGUGCAGCCAAGUCUUCCUCAGAUAUCACUCUACUAUCUGAACAGAGUAUAACAGAAUAGCUAAUUCCUAGAUUUAAUAAAUUAGCAAAGGUGGUGAUAGGUAUGAGGUAUGACUGGAAUGUUGAUGAGGUGAUAAUGCUAGUUAUAGAAAACAAUAAUUGUAUAUAGAACAAAAGUGGCUAUGAGGUUAAGAAGUUUGCUUUGGAACCAUGUGCUUCUGAGUUAAAUCCAACUAUGUUGCAACUUGGCCAAGUUUUUUCUCCAUCCAUCCAUCUACACAAUGGGACUGAACCUGUAAACUUGAGAUUGGGAAGCUAACUUCUUAACCACACAGCCACAUGUGUGCUUUAGUCCUUUAGCAUUCAGAUUUCUCUGUCAGAUGUAUAGCUUAUUUAUUUACUUUGUUUUGAAUUAAUCAUGUAUUAGCUCAUAACUUAGAGAUUUCAAUGAUAUGAUUGUAUAUUGUAACAUAGCAGUUUGGCAGAAGAGAUUGAUAGGAAAAAAAAAAAGUACUGGUGUUGAUUCAUUUCACUAAAAAAUUCUCUGAGGCAGUGCCAUAGCAUUGCCGCAGUCUAAGGACUGAAACAAGUAAAAAUAUAAUAAUUAAAAAAAAAGGAUAUAGUUGACUCAGGAAUAGAUAAAACUUGAGAUGCUAGGCUAUUUACUUUAGAAUAGCUAUUGUGUUGUACAGUAUCUGGUUAUGGUUUGCAAAUAAUAAUGAAUAAUAAAUAAAAUGGAAUAACUACCACUCCCAUCUUAUGGUUGGGUGGCUAACUGUGAAAGAAACUGAAAAUUUGUCAAAAGACCUUUCUAACUGUUGUGAUUUGUAUAAGUGACUGUAAACUACCUAUAAAAUAUUAAAUAAAUAAUAAUAAAAAAACUGCUUUUAAUUAAUAAAACUAUCCAAGCAGUUAAAAUACCAAUGAAGUCUAGGUAGAAUCCACUAUAAAAUAUUUUGGUUUUAUUUACUUCAUAUCACAUUAUGUAAACAAUAGGAUCGUUAAUUGCAGAUCUUCAGUGGACUAAUCACUGGUUCACUUCAUUUAAGAUGGCUAAAGUGACAAGGGAGCGACUUUGCAACUCAGUGCUGAACAAAUACUGCAAGGUAUUUUUGUUUGAAACCCUUUGCUUUCUUGCCAAUAAAUAUUAACAAGAGAGAGAGAGAGAGAGAGAGAGACAUGCACACACAUGGCGGUUUUUCACACAUUUUCUAUCUACCAAAUAACAUGGUAAAAGAAAACUGCUUAAGGUGCAGCUGAGUGAGAUUGGACCCAGAACCAGGUGGUUGUGAUGUGAACUCCUAAAGCCAUAUAGACAUUCUGCUUUACUAUAAUGGUUGUUGAUAAUGUCACAAGGAGUAAUGCAAUUUUAACUUUAUAUCCACAUUUAAAAUCAGAUAACAGUACGUCUUAUCACAUUUUAUAAAAGAUUAGUGCAACGAAAACUGAAAACAAAACAAAAAAUAAAUCAAAAUCUCUUGUUAUAUUUGUGUUUGGCUGUCAUUCUCAUCCUAUCAUCAUCAUCAUCAUCACUUAAUAUCUGUCUUCCAUGCUGGUAUAGUUCAGAUGGUUCAACAGGAUCUGAUGAGCUGGAGGAUUGCAUUGAGCUCCAAUGUCAACUUUGGUAUGUAUGGUUUCUAUUGCUGGAUGCCUUUCAGAACACCAACCACUUUGCAGAGUGUACUGGUUGCUUUUUUCAUGGCACUGGCCCUUGUGAAGUUGCUAAGUAAUGUUCAAGACAUGCCCACUUGACUAAGUGGAAGUAUAGUUGAAAGGGAAGUGGUUUUAUGCUGGAUGUUGGAUGUUUUAUGCUGAAUGUAUGACAGAGAAAACAGGUAUCUUACUGUGGAGACUCACACACACACAUUCACACAUCACACUACACUACACUACACACACACACACACACGUGCGCGCGCGACAGACUUCUUCCAGUUUCCACCUGCUAAAUCUACCCACAAAGCUUUGGUCAGGCAACCUGGGGUUGCCUGAAGUCACUUGCCCAAAGUGCUUUGUAGGGGGGCUAAAAUAUAUUAAUAUAUAUAAAAUUCAUAAGAAUUUGAUAAACCUCAAGAAAAUAUGGUUCUUGAAGCAAAUAAAGCUAUAAAUAACAUUUACAUGCUAUUAUACAUGCUAUUAUUUAUAGCUUUUAUUUCAAGAUUCAACUUUCCAAUAUAUAUAUAUAUAUAUAAAAUCUUGCUGAUCCUGCCAAAUACAAACUAACCAGCUAUUCUCACUGUAGAUAUCUCAAAAGUGAUAGAAAUGAUUUCAGACAGAGCAGGUGAUGAUGGUUGUUGUUGUAUAGGCCAAGGCCAGUGAAGUAGAUCUCUGUUCAGAGGGAUUCUUGCUACAGUAUUCUUGUCUUUAUUUUUUUCUAUUUUAGUGAUUAACUAUAUUAUUCAAUCUCUGUAUUUAUAAAUCAGUUAAGAUGUAAUUUGUGAGAGAUUUCACUUCUAUUUCUAGCUGGUCAAGUAGCUGUCAGUCUCAUUGGUUCAUGAUGACAGUGAUGGUAGUGGUGAUAAUAAUCAUGAUAAUAUAGAAGAAUAUAAAAUGUUUCUGUAUGAAUGAAACUUACUGGCAAGAAAAAUAAUUUUCGCUGAAAGAUAGACGGACAUACAGACAGAAUAUAACAGUGUCAAUUGAAUAGUUGGAAAGAUAUUUUUUAAAUAUGUUCUGUGACAUUGUGGAAAGUGAACUGGUCAUUAUCUCAUGGGGGAAAUAAUUUCUAUAAAAGCAAAUUUAUAUGUUAAAAUUGAACUAAGUUGUUCAGCUGUGUUCUUCUGUAAUUGAAUAUUUGAAGGUUUUAAAAGCCAUUAUGUAUAUUUAAAAAAAUGGUUUGUAGGAAUCAAAACUGUGUUAAUAUUACUUCUCAAAGAAUUCUAUAUCCAAUUGCUUUGAAUAUUCCUUUCUUUCUUAAGUGCUGGGAUUCCAGUGUUUCUCCCUCCUGACUUUGGCAAGCUAAAUGAUAGUAGCUGGUGGUCGGGGACUAUAUUGUGCCUUCUUGGGUGGUAUUUGAAUAGGAGUGUGUAGGAGGCAAAAACGUUAUUCUCCAGAGAGAAAAAUUUCAUUGAAUGAGAACUAAAAAAAAAAAAAAAAGAAAUCCAAUCUGACAAAUUUUGAUGUUAUUCCUUAUUUGCUCAGUAAUUGAGGCAGGUCAAUAGAGUUCAGGUGUCAUUAACCAAAUGAAAUAUUAAUUGCUUCCUGUACAAUUCCAUUUCGUGCCUACCAGCCUCCACCUUUUCUCCUUUCUUUCAAAAUUGUCUACACUUAUUAAAUAUUUGCUUAUGAGUAGAAAAGAUGUAAUAGCUAAUAAUCUUUUCAUUCACUUCAAAUCCCACAAUUUAUUUGUAACUUAUAUAUAAAAUGUUAAUAUAAACACCCAUCAUUGCCUAGCAGAAAAUAGUUAAGAUAAAUAUAGUUUUUGUGAAUGUUUGGCAUAAGCUUUUUUUUUCUUCUUUUUUUCUGUUUAAAAAAAAAGAAAAAAAAUUGUCUGUUAUAACUUUAUCAGAGAAGGGAUGGACUGUGCUCAUGACUUUCAGAUUGGUGCCAAUAGCCAACCUGAAUAACUGCAGGUCACUGUCUGCAGGAAGGAAAUACAUAAACUUAAGGAAGGUGGUGGAUUGCCACUAGUAUUCUGAUCUGUUGGUUUCCAAUGAACUUUAAAAUCAUUCAAUCCCAGUUGGUGAUGUUAAACUUUGCAGAAUUUUAGGUAUUCUGACACCCCUCAUUUCUGCACAAAAAAAAAAAAAAUGUCUAUGGUAUGUCAGUAUAGAAGGGAUGUUCAGCAAGAAAGGAAUGGUAAUUUGAAGUAGGAUUCAAAUAUUUACACAAAUGAUUAAUUUUGGUUCCAGAUAUACUGCAUUAUGGUGCACAAACUCUGAACCUUUCCACUUGAGAGGUUCAGAUGACAUCCUAUUACUUUGCUGAGACUCCUGAUAAAUUUGAGAAUUUAGUUCAUUAAAUUCUGAGACAAAAAAAAAACAAAAAGAAACUGAAAAAUACUUUCUCCAAUUCCAACUGUGAUGUUUUAAUAGAUAAGUCUUGAAUUGUUUAUAAAUAAUGUUAGAAAUAUAACGGCACUCAUACAAUCUUUGUAAGUUUAGAGCAGUCAGAUCAUUACUUUAAGUGGAGUAAAAUGAGAUAAUUCCUAUGAGCUAAGAGUAACCUGAUAAUCCUUUUAAGUUGAGCACAUCUAGUUGAUUAGUUGAUAUUUAUUUGGUAGCGUCUAAGUAAUUCUGGUAAGAUAACAACUGCUGACUGCUAACGUAGUCUUUGGGUGUCUUUAGUGCCCCCGCCCACUGUAUUACAAGCAUUUAGGCCCCAUCUUCAGUUUAAAGUCAUGGCUACUGCUCUUCCUCCUUUGACCAAAAAAAAAAAAAAAAAAAAAUUCUCCUUAGAACAUUAAUCAUAGCUGUGUGAUUAAGAAGUUCACUAUGUGAUUUUGGAUUCAAUUCAACUAUGUUGUUAGCUGAAGUGUUUUCAAUCACAACCUCAUAUUGCCCAAAACUUAUGUUGAUGUUUGAUACAUAAAAACUGUGUUGAAGUGUGCUGGGGACCAUUCCUGUUCUUGUCUGGUUUAUCACCAUUGUCUGGCACUUGGGUGCUUUUAGCAGAGUCCACUCUGUUACAUUUAUGUCAAAUGUUUGCUUUGAGGAUAACUUCUUUCCCUUUCUUCUUUGCCCAAGUCCUGUAACAUGAAAAUUCACAUAUAUAUAUAUAUAUAUAUAUAUAUAUAUAUAGUUGUAUGCAAAAUGAGCAGCUCUGAAAUAUUUGGGCAUUACUAAGUUGCCAUCAGUUAUUCAACCCUUUAGCGUUCAGAAUCCCUGUCAAAUGCAAUUCUUAUUUAUUCACAUGAUUUUGAAUUAAUCAUGCGCAACCUUGUAGCUUCAAGAUUUUGAUGAAGUAAUUGCUUAUUUUUAUAAUAACAAUGUAGGGUAGAUGUAAAAGGCCAGAUUUGGUCAGUUCAAACAUAAAACAGGUGGAAUAUUUGGAUUGGACAUGGCUAGUUUAAAUACUGAAGAGUUAAGUCAGUUAACUUUAAGAUCUACAUUUAGAAUGGUUAAAUGUAGUAGUAACUACCAGCAGUUACUAAGUUGGGGAUGGUGGAAUGUUAACUUAUUGCCGGCAGCAUUUUAGGAAUAUAUAAUAACAGUGUAUAGUAGACACUACAUAUAUCUAUCAGUAAGUAUUAAUUAAGUGAAACAGUUGACUCAAUGCCAAUAGAAUCUAUAAUUAGAUUACCUGUAUCUAGUGGUCAAAGCAGGUAUUGCCAACCAACAGCUGAGGUCUGGAGAGGGUUUAUAAUUGUUGAUGUAUUUAUGUCAUAGUCUUACAGACUAAUUUGGUUUUAGUUGGGAUCAUAAUGUAUCAGAAUUAAUAUAUGUUGUCUUGUUGGUAACUGUCAUUGAAUGCUGAUGUUGUUUUGAAGUAAAUUUAGAGCACAAAGAUACCCAUUGAAAGAAACAUUUGUUCAUCAGUUCAACCAUGGCUUCCUGUCUUCAUUGUGGGAACAUGUCUUAAUAUUUAGUACCUAUGAAUGUGGUGAGCUGGCAGAAUUGUUAGCGCACUGGGCAAAAUGAUGAGCAACAUUUUGUCUGUCUUUAUGUCCUGAGUUCAAAUCCCACUGAGUUCAAGUUUGCCUUGCAUCCUUCCGUGGUUGAAAAUUUGAAACCAAUAUUUAGCACUAAUUAGCAAUGAAACUGUCUUCAGUAAACUUCUGUUCUCAAGAUGUAUUGCAAAUGUCUCAUCAUUUUCUCUCUCUCUCUCUCUCUCAAUGGUUCUGUGUCAUUACUCCAGCUCUUGUAUCACUGUCUCUCUACCAAAUGUCUUGUACCACUGUCUCUCUACCAAAUGUCUUGUACCACUGUCUCACUAAAGUUGGAAAUAAAUUAUGCCUUAAGUUCAGUGACGGAUGUGCUGUUCUAAAAUUUAACAAAGGCAUCCACAUUUCUCAAUGAUUUAAGUCUUUCAUGUUUGCAACUAUUGGCAUAUCUUUACUCUCCAUAAGUGCAACUCUCUUUCUGUCAAUUUUUUAUGAUAUACAUUAAUUUGUGAGCUAGUGAGGAAGCCUCUAUGUAGUUGCUCCAUUGCUAGGAACAGUAAUCAGUUUUUCCUUAAAACCACACUCUACUAUCUUAAAAAGAAAUAUUAAAUAUCUAAAGUAUGCUAUUCCUAAAAAGAAAAAGAUGGUAUGUCAUAGCUGGAAUGGCUUUGAUCGUAGGUCUGCUCAGUCAAGACUGACCUGGGGCUAAACAGCAAACUAUACAAUUCCAUCCUGAACAAUAACAGCAUUGAACUCCAUAGUGUAUGAAGGCCUGCCAAGACCAUGGGUAGUGCUACUCUUCCUUGGACUGAAUAAUAAUCAAUUAAACAAAAACAACUAAUCUAAAUGCUGUUUAGAAUAUGUUAUCUGUCUUCAGUGCCCCCUUUCACUGAAUGUUUAUUUAAAAAACACAUCCUCUCCCUAUGUCUUGCAUAGAUAAAAAAACAACCCCCAAAAAACCUCCUUCCCAGAAGUUAAUUUUGCACUGUAGUUUAUUGUCCACAUUUUCUUAUAGUACAUAUCAUCCAGCACGUUCUCCUUUUUAGAUAUUUGUAUGGACUGUGUUAAGUAUAUUAUACUGGAUUUUGGUACAUCAUCAGUCAUGUUUCUGCUCAGGCACAGACAUGACUGUGGUAUUAGAAGUUUACUUCCUAACCAGAUGGUCUUCAGUUCAGUCCUACUGUGUGGCAUCUUGGACAAGUGUCUUCUGCUAUAGCCCCAGGUUGACUAAAGCCUUUUGAGUGGAUUUGAUAGAUGGAAACUGAAGGAAGUCUGUUGUAUGUAUAUGUAUAGGUUGCAUGUGUUACUGUCUCCUUGCUUUGAUUUCAUAUGAUUGUUGUAAAUGAACAUUAGCGUUAUGCAAGUGAUUGCCUUCAUUUCCAGUCUUCUGUGAAAACAUAUAUAUUCAGGUAUAAAAUCUUAUUUACAUAUUGUGGUCUGUAUUAGCUACCAGUUGCUGACAGUGUCAUUGAAAAGUCAUUUGCAAUAUAUUCUAUUGUUACAGAAGCUAUAUAAUUCACACUGUACUGCAUGCCAUCAUUACACUGCACUGUAGGCAAUUUAGGGCACAAAGAGGUUAACUAAAACAUCAAGAAGCGGGUUUGUAAUCUGUAAAGAUUAGUGGCUGUUAUUUAAAAAACAUAUCCCCUGUAUGUUUAAACAAACUAGAAAUUAUGUUUCUGUGUAUAUAUGGCUAGACUUGCAUGUGUGUGCGCACUCAUACACACACGCGAACACAUUCUUCUGAGUAAACAAAAUGAAAAUUAUGUCAUUCUUUUACUUUUGCGACUGUGUCUUUUGUUGUCAAAGCACUGACUAAUUACAAAAAUGUGAAGUGCUUAGAAAUAUAUAGGUCACAAACAAGACAUGGAAUCUACUUCAAAAAGUACCUGUUAGAAAAUAAAAAUAACAACAACAAGAAUAACAAAUGAAAUAUGAAAUAAAAAUAUAAAUGCUGUAUUGCUAAAACCCUUCUAAAACUUAUUUCUUCAUACAAAUUGUCGAUUAUUGGUUUAGUGUAGAUCAGCAUUUGUCAAAUUGGGAUGUUAAAAUUAAUUUCCAUGCGGGCUGGGGAUUCAAAUGAAACUUUACCUGCCUUUGAAUGCCACUUUAGAAAAUUUAGAGCAAGGUGCUUGCUAUUUCAGUUUGUCAUCAAACAAGGGUGUCGGACUAACAAAACGGUUGGGAGACAAAGUUGUAGGUCAGUCACUGGUUCACUAUUGGCCAAUCACUGCUUCACUAAACAGCCAAUCAUUGGUUCACUUUAGGCUAAUUCCUGAUUUGCUGUAGGCCAGUCACUAGUUCACUGUACACUAGUCACCAGUUCACUUCAUUUUAAUACUCAGAUGUGGAUUGGUGCAGACAUAGCUGUGUGAUAAGACAUUUGCUUCCCAACUACAUGGUUCCGGGUUCCAUUCCACUGCAUGACAUGUUGGGUGAACGUCUUCUGUGUGUGUGUGUGCGUGUGUGUGUGUGUGUAUAUAUACUGUCCAAUUUUAUAAUGCAUCAUCCUAAUUAUAUGUGCAGGUGUGGCCAUGUAGCAAGAAGCUUACUUGUCAACCACACGGUUCUGGGUUCAGACUCACUGCAUGACACCUCCCACUAUGGUUUUGGGGCUGACCAAAACUUUUUGAGUGGAUUUGGUAGAUGGAAACUGAAGGAAGUCUGUUGUGUGUGUGUGUGUGUUGUGGAAAUUAUAUAUAUGUGUGACAACUUGUGUUGGUGUGUUUAUGUCCCUGUAACUUAGCAGUUCAGCCAAAGGGAUUGAGAGAAUAAGUACCAGGCUGGAAAAAAUUAGUAUUGGGAUCUAUUCAUUUGACUUAAAAUUUCUUCAAGGCAGUGCCCCAGCAUGAGUGCAGUUAAAUGGCUGAAACAAAUAAAAGAAAAAAGAUAAGAGAUAAUACUAAUUAAUUAUGUUAAUUAGUAUAAGAUCUGUUUAACAUUGUUACUUUCAGUUUACUCAACUUUAGUGUAGUACUGGUAUUAACAUUUUAUUAACUUCAGAGAAACACAAAGCCAGCAUUGGUUGUGUUUGGACCAUAGAACCUUGAGGUAAAAUACUCAAAAAGAUGCCAACUUGGCUCUGUCUCUCAUCUAUGUCAUCUCCUCCCAUGCAGUGAGAGAGCUUGCUUGUAAUUGCCCAACAAAUUAUAAAUAAUAACCAAGUCUCCUUCAAAUCACACUGUAGAAUAUAUUAAGUAAUGUAGUCUUUGAUAUCCUUAAAAAAAAAAAGACAGGAUGAUCACAGCAGGAGGGGCUCUUAUUUUCAAUCUACUUGAUCAACACUAACUUCUGGCUAAAUAGUACCAAUAACAACAACUCUACUGCUCUUUAUCUAGUCCUAAACUGGACUGUAUUCAGCCUAUUGCAUAUGGCUAAUUUGUUUGGUGUUCAUCAUCCUUUGUUUGGUGUUUCAGGGGUUGCCCUUAACAAAUAUGGACUAUAGCCAUCCUCUUCAAACAUGUGGUCUUUUAUUUUAAAUUCAAUGUUGAGAUUGUUGUUUUCUUUCACUUAUUUUCUCUCUCCUCUACUCGCUUCUCCUCAACUCACUUCUCUCUGCCACUCAACUCACUUCACCUCUUUUCCUCAUUCUCCUCUCCCCUUCUCCCAACACCCUCCUUAUGUGAUUAUAACGUUCUGUUGAUGGCGAUCAGCUAGUUUUAGUAUACUCUUAAGCUUUCCUGAGUAAACAAUGGUGCCAAGUAGAGACAAUAUGUUAUGUAAAAGCCAGGUAUUGGACAUUCCUUUCUCAUCUGUAAGACUGAUUGGUAAAUAACUCUGUUUCAUACUUGCUGUUUAAUAUUCAGGUGUGUGUAUUGUCUUUGGCUCUUUCUCUCUAUACCUAUCUUAUUUGUUAUCUUUUACUUGUUUCAGUCAUUAGACUGCAACCAUAUUAGGGCACUGUCUCGAAAUUUUAGUCAAAUGAAUUGACCCAAGUAAUUUUAUUUUAAGCCUGGCACUUAUUCUAUCAAUCUCUUAUAUUAAACUGCUAAGUUACGGGGAUGUAAACAUACCAACAGUGGUUGUCAAGCAGUGGUGGGACAUACACUUCUUUCAGUUUCCGUCUACCAAAUCCUCUCUCAAGGCUUUGGUUGGCCUGAGGCUAUAGUAGAAGACACUUGCCCAAGGUACCAUACAGUAGGAGUGAACCCAGAACUAUGUGGUUGGGAAACAAGCUUUUUACCACACAGCCAUGAGUGUGUAUAACACUGAUUUGACUUGUUUUGUUUUCUUGUUUGAGACUAAUGUUUUAUCUCAUAAUUAUCUUUGUAGUUGAAAGAAAUCAUUAUUAUAAAUUGUGUAAAACUGAUAAUUCAUAUGAGUUAAGGGCUAAACUCUUAUAAGUUGAGAGCAAUUAUAUCAUCCUAUUAAAUUUGGAGCGCCUAGAUCAGUGCAUUUUUUUAAAUGCUGUUGCUUAUCUUUUAGUAAUGUCUUUUCAAUGCUCACCUCUCCAACACCUUUGCUACAAUUCAACCUAUCUCAUUUCCAAUGUUCAUAUAUGUAGUAUCAAGCAUUUGUAAUUUAGUUCCAGGUAACAGUUUGAUGUAGGUGACUACUUACCACAGUACCAUCCUACUAUAAGUAAAUAUUUGACACAUCUCCAUUAAAUUUAAGGUAUUCACCCAACCUUUAGCACACGGCUUCAACCAAUAUCAUGUAUGCUUUCUACAUUCUUCAUAUUCACCCUUGUAGCUACAAGUUGAAAUUUAUCUUUAUAAUUUUAGUUUAUAGUCGUAUUUUCUGUAUGAUCACAUACACGUAUAUUAAUUUCUCUGCUUGCCUCUGAGUUUACACAUCCAUUUAUAGCUGUACUAAUAGGGCCUGUACACAUAUAUUAGGGCAUUACUUCAUGCUCCAAGUACAGUGGUCACCUUUAUUGCAUGUAUGAAAAUACCCACAAAUGUCUUUUAAAUUAUACUUUAGUUUAUUGUUUAUAAUUUAGAUACAUAGGUGCAUAUAUUCGGUUUUGUUUACCUGUUUAUUCAUGUUUCUAAGCCUAUCAUUAUUGUUGAUGUUGUUGUGAUUGUAGAUUACAAGCUGUUUAUCACAACAUUACAUUGAUUUUCUGUAGGAAGACAAAAAAAUCUGUACAGAUGCAUCUAUUACCCUUCUAUUUUCUCCUUUGUCUCCAAGAGGCUGCACCAAAUGCAAAAAAAAAAAUCCAGUAUGGUUUAAUUUAAGGAAGUAGUGGCUAUUUCUAGCAGAUCAAAUGGCUACAUAGUCUCCUUCCUUGGUUCACCUUCAUUGGUGACAAUGCUCGAAGAGUAAAAGCAGAAUUAUUAUCUGCCAGGUUAUUCUUACUUUAAUAUCCUUCACUGAUUGGAUAUUUUUGUAUAAAGCUGCUAGAUUUCACUUGUUCAUGGAUUUUGAAUGGAUUUUCUGUCAAAUCUAAUAUGUUUAGUCUAUGUUGUUGUUUACUGUUGCCCUGUGAUGCUUUACAAUACAACACCCUUCUUCAGACAUUCAACACUGUGUGGGAAAGUCCAUCAUAAAGUAUUUUUAAGUCACUAUUUUAUAUUUGUGAAGGUAGAUUAUGGUUUCCAUUUGCCUUUUGCAUUUAUUUGUUGUUCUAUAAGGCAACAUGUGUGUGUAAUUGUUUUAUGAUUUUAUGGCCAUAUUUCCAUGAUGGUAUUUUUGGUAGGCAUUUUGAGGCAGUGUUUUAUGACUGGAUACCUCUUCUGGUGCCAGCCCUUUUACACACCCUUUAUAAGAUCCUGACUAAAAACUGAUAUAUAUAUAUAUAUAUCCUACACUUCAGACUUCCUCAUGUUCCUUUCUGUUGAAGAGCAUUGGCUUGAAAUGUAAAAGACUUUCUCACUUUCCUGAGCAUCAAACAAAUACACUUGCUUGUUAUUUAUACACCUGUCUUCGUCUUUUGCUUUCCUGUAAAUUUCAAUUUUACCUAAGUAAAGUCAUUAAUGGCAAAACCGGUCUACGAUUAAUUCUUUAUUUUGUAUAUUUUCAUCUGUCUUACCUGCCUAUGUUCUGGUGUUUGCUGAAUUUUUCUAGAGAACAUUCUUUUCUUUGUGGUUAGAUCGUAGGUGAUCUACUUCUAGCACAUUGGAUGUCCACUUAGUUGUCAUCCCUUCUUAUACGCAUAUAUAUAUAUAUACUAGCAGCAUAGCCCGGCGUUGCCCGGGUAUGUAAGAGCCCCUAGUAGGCAACGACUAAUCCCAAUGUAGUCCUUUGCCUCCAGGGAACGAAGGUGCAUGUGGACGUUGCAAUGUCUUGUCUUCACUGGAAUACUUCUGUAUAUACGAUGUUCCUAGCUGUCCGUUGGGGCGAAAACAUGAAAACAUCAUUGCGCCUCCCAACGCGUGAACAGCCCACGUAGAGUUGACCUUGGGCGAAGCACUGUUCGCCCAAAUGUAACCCAGCGACUUGUAGCGUUUGGCCUUGGGAUUUAUUGAUGGACAUUGCGAAGCAGAGUUUAACAGGAAACUGAGAACGCCUGAAGUGGAUUGGUAGGUCAGCGUCCGACGGUUGAAGGUGCAUCCGUGGAAUGAAGACGUCCUCUCCCUUCCCACAACCGGUAAGUAUUGUGGCCGUUAUUAAAUGUGGUGCCAAAUGUUUCACAACCAAACGUGUGCCGUUGCACUGUUUAGGUGGAACCAAAUUCCUGAUGAGCAUAAUGGGCGCACCGACUUUUAACUUCAGGAUGUGUGGUGGCAGGCCUGGCGGUUCAAGUGAAUUCAGGAAUUCAACAGGAUAAUCGGCAAGCUGGGCGGGGUCUGCUGUCCUAUCUAUAGAUUUGUAGACGUGGACAUCACCAGGAAUAGCUUCAAGUAGCUGGAUAUUGAUGGAGUUGACGGUUGUAUUUUUGGGUGCGAGAAUAGCUCUGCCUGCCAGCCAUUUUAGGUCGCGUAAAUUGUUUUGUAGGUCGUGGAAGACAGCGUCCCGGAGGCUAGCAGGGGUGUCGACAAUGGUGCAAAGUGAGUCCAAUUGAACGUAGCCAUCCGCAUCAGACAGCAUCCUAUUUUCACCGAGCGAUAAGAGGUCCCUGGAGAAUGCAGCGGAUCCGCUGUCACCAAUUAACUGCGCGCGCAUGUUAGUUUGGAGGUGCAAGGGCCGCACAUGUGCCCAAAGAGCUGACGACUUAAGGCACGCGCGCACGGCAUCGGCACGGGUUCCUUUUGGAAUAACAGGUAGAGUCUGCCUGAAGUCUCCUGAAAGAAGUAAAGUUAAUCCUCCCAUGGGGGCCGUAGAGUCUCUGAUGUCUUGCAGGGACCUGUCCAGUGCCUCAAGGGCGCCUUUGUGUGCCAUAGUGCACUCGUCCCAUACGAUGAGUUUGCAUCUGCGCAGAAUGUCGGCCUGUUCUGAGUUCUUGGCGAUGUUGCAGAUAGGUGACUCGGACUUUGCCAGAUCGAGCGGGAGUCUGAAGGCAGAGUGGGCGGUUCUGCCACCCGGAAGCAACGUGGCCGCGAUACCAGAGGAAGCUACAGCCAGGGCAAUGUCCGUGUUGCGUCUGACCUCUGCCAGAAUUAGUUUAGUGACGAAGGUUUUGCCAGUGCCGCCGGGUGCAUCAAGGAAGAAAAUCCCCCCACGUUGCUGUCUGACAGAGUCUACGAUGGUGUUGUAGGCUAUGCGCUGGUCUGGAAGCAGCCGUGGUUCAUUAUCUUGGACGUACUGGUGCAGUUCCUCAAUGCAGUAGGAAGUUUCGCGUAACAAUUCAGCAGACAUAACAUUGGCGUGUUCACGUGUGGGUGGUGGAAGGCCGUACUCUGUUAAAGCAGACCCACCCAUAUCGAUGACAGCGUCUUCGAGUUGAAUGAGCGCAAAAUUGUAAAUGAAGUUGGUGAACGUGAUCUCGGCGGAAGGGCAGUGUUGCUGAGCCGUACGUAAGAAGUCGUGCGACAUGUCAUCCCUGUAUUUCAUCCAGAGACUUAGUGGAUCACUAAGCUGACAUUUUUGAAGAAGGAUUGCGAAAAGAUGUCGUAGGGCCGAAUGCGUUUGCAGUAAAGCACCCUCUGCCAUCGUGGCGUCCCACUGGGAGUCAUCCUCUAGAAGGCCAAGUCUCAUACAUGCUUCCCUGAAGGUGUCGCACAUAACCCCAUUGACGGUACGUAUAUUGGCGAAACCUGUUGGACCAGUGACCUCAUGUAGAAGGAGACGGAGGUAGAAGCAUUCUUGCUGGUUUGGCGGGAUGUUGUAAACUCGACCCAGGCAGGAGUCAAACUUGACGCCUGGGAAGCUUUCGACGUUUUUGCCGGAUUUCCGUCGAACCCAGGUGUUUUUAGACCACACGAAGUACGAUGGGACCUGUGGGUACAAAAGCGUUCGAGCGAAGUCAUCACGUUGGCAUAAUUUGAAGAAACCAGUCAACGUUGUGUCUUUAGGGCUGGUGGCUAUCUGCACAGCACUUUGCUCUGUGAAGUAAAUCCGCUGUCCAUUUUCCAAGUGUACAGCAAGCUGCACCACAGCCGGGUGUCUCUGAUGGAGCGGGAAGCCGUAAAUGCGCCAAAACGCUUCGUUGCUGCUGAGGUACCGGCCAGCCAAGUAGUUGGACACUUCGUCGCGACUGGUGGUCCUCUGGAUGCUGAACAUGGCAGCAUCGCUGCCUUUGUUGAUAUAUUUGCAGACAUAUUGUAUUGACCUGAUGGAGCUGCAGAACUCAACGUUGACGUGGGCUUUGAAUAUCUUCGACAGGAGAGGACAGUAGGGGACAAUGUAGCUGUUGUCCACUUGAUGUCGCCCAACCGUAAUCGUGCGGCCUCCAUUGGCUGGACUCCUUCGUUUGUACAGCGGAUACCCAUCGCCGCCUGUUUGAGUCUCCAAAGUGAACCGUUUAGGGAAUCCCUUUGAGCAGGCUAAUCCGUUUUUGUAGCAUGGUGUGUUGGCGUAAUUUGGUCCACAGGGCCCGUGUACCAUGGUAGUGCGGACAAUUUCGUAGAGUCCGGGGUCCUCAUCGGGGUCAGGAAUCUCGGCGGAAAUGAAUUUGUCAAUGUCAUUAGUCUCGAUUUUAUGAGUGAGCCAAAUUAAGAUGUGAGCAUGUGGCAAGCCCCUCUUUUGCCACUCGACCGAAAACAUGUGGCACCUGACAUGCCUGAAAAUCUGACCCUUAACUAUCAAAUCCUUCAUUUUGCCCAAAUUCAGACGGAAAACCCUAGCAACGAUGUCGUGUCGAUGGGUGUGAGAUUGACCCGGGAGGAGUUCGCGAGUGAUUUCGUCGCAGCUGGGAUUGCACGUGUAGGUGAUAAAGAGGUCCGGCCGGCCGUAAAUGCGCACGUAGAUCAAGGCGUCUUGGGUCCUUUCACGCAUAUAUCGCGGUCCUCCCGUGAAGGUGGAGGGUAGAAUGCAUGGCUUGCCGAUGUUGCGAGGGUCAUUUUCUUGUUGCAAACCGUCACAGAGAUGAAUGUAGGAGUCGGAGCGAAGUUUGGUCUGAUUAAGUUUAAUGUAUAGCAGCCUUUCCGAUUCCAUUUUUGCGGCCAUGUCGACGGCGAACUGGUUGAAUAGCUGACGACAACGGGCAAUAAGUUGAACUCACCCUCCCUGACCAUGAACCGGUAUAAGUAGAACGCCCUGCAGGAAACCGUCUUUGAUGCCGCAGUAGUUUGAUUGGAGGGCUGCCGUAAAGGAAUUCCGAAGUGGUAGCCGUCUUCCCCAUAAGGGAAAAGCAAUGGAUACUGAAGCGCGUCAUAAGAUCUGUGAGUCUCGCUGAUCCUGUGUAGGUUGUUACCACGGGAGGAGAUGAUUAUGUCACGGCUGUUGUGUUGCUCUCCGUGUAUAACUGCGGCAAUUUCGUUGCACGCAGGUGCGUUGAAACGGCGUUCGUGCUCCCCGUGGGGUCGUUUAUCAGCAUCAAUGACAACGGUGAAGUUUGGAGAUGGAGCACUGUCCAAGGCAUAUCUGAAGCUGCAGACGUAGCUGUUGAUAUCAUGAAGCAUGGUUUGGAGACGGAGAAGAAUGUCUUUGCGAGGAACAUAGCUUGUACCCGGUAUUAUUCCAAGGCGUGCAUCAACCUGGUGGUUGUAGUCGGCAAUGAAGUAUAUUUGGAGGAAAGAAGACUGCUGAAUCUCGUCUGGCAGAAGUGACCCAAUAAGAUGGUAGACCUGUCCCUGCACUUUGAAAGUAGGCAUCCAGCCUUCUCUGGGAGGAAUUUUGGCCCCGAAAGAGGUCAUUUGGAAUGAGCAGUUGUACUUUCGAAUUAUUUCAAGGAAUUGUGACGAAUCGGGGGUUAAACCCGCCGCGAGAUCCUUCAGUGGUUGAGGUGGUUCCCGUAGGGGUGGCAGGUCCACUUUGCCACCAGAGCAGCACAAACCAGGUGGCUCUCCGGGCCAUUUCUUGGCUUUGCAAAACUGGCAUACAAUUGUCAUUGACCCUAUCUUGAUGUCGUCACGCAAGGAGAAGUUAAUUGUGGCGUCGUAGUUGAAUGCUAGUGACAACCAGAAAGCGGGGGCAGGGGUACGUACACCACGAAUGAUAUCCCGACGUUUGUUGAUACUCUCAAGUCGAGUGCACCGUGCCUCAGCAGAUUCAGAUGCACGUGCGACAGCGGUAGCAGUGGCAUCCCUUGAAAGCCUUUCAGCUCUCGCCUCAGCACCCUCUGAAGCCCUAGCAGAAGCAGUGUUAAUGGCAUGUCUGGAUGUCCGAAUAGUCCGUUGGUGUGGAGUUUCGGCAGAUCGAGCCCUAGCUGUGUUUGCGGCGUUAGCAGCUUGGCGAGCUCUCCUCUGUUGAGGUGUUUCGGCAGCUUUGGCCAUGGCUUUGUUUGCGGCGUCAGCAUCUUGGCGAGUUCUCCUCUGCUGUGAGGUUUCGACAGAUCGUGUCCUGGCAGUGCUAGUGGCGUUAGCCGCAUUCCGAAUGGCCCUUUGUUCGGGGUUCUCGCAAGCUCUGCGGAUGGAAGCACAGUAAGAAGCCCGCAUUUUUUGGCUGGACUGUUGCUCUUUCGUCAACCUCGAGCGGAGGGAAGAUCUGUACGCUGCGACCCUUGCAAGUCGGGUAGAACGGUCGCUAGUAGUUUCAGAUGCCUGAGCAGCGGCAUAACGGCAAGCUGUUUGCGAUAGGCGCAAGGCGGUUUCCUCGUGGGUCUCGCGUGCCCUUCUAGCCCUAGCAGCCGAUGCCUUGGCCGUCCGAGGGCUGAGGAGGGUCCUUCUCUUCUUGGGUGGCAUUUUGGUGGAUAGCAAUGUGUUUGGCAAAGGUGUAAUAAAAAGGAACACGUGGGGUAAGUAUUUUGGUGGAUAGCAAUGUGUUUGGUAAAGGUGUAAUAAAAAGGAGCUCGUGGGGUAAGUAUCCGAAAAUGUAUAAAAAUGUACAAAAACGGCCAAAAAGCUGGCAGCAAUGUGAGUGACAACAACGAAAAAGUCAAAAGUGAUCAAACUGAACAAACGAAAGGAAAAGUUUUUUGAUGCACACGACAAAAGUGGUUUAUAAUAAACCAAGAGUUUGCAAGUAGCGUCCGAGGACCGUUAGGGUACGUCAAAAAUUGAAGGUAAAACGUUUGGGGUGGUAGUUAUAAAGAAAGUUUAAACCAAAAAAGUAUUCGAAUAACUUGCGGCUGCAGCAGCUAUUAGCAGAAGUGGCGGUGUUGGGGGUAAAGUCUCGAAUGUAAUUUCUUCCUGGUAGGAAUUGGUUGGAUCGAAUUAUCGAUAGCUAAAAAGGUCAAGUUGCGUCCCCUAGACAGUCUGGUUUGUGUUUAAUACACAAAUUUGUUUGCUAUGUGUGCCACAUAUGAUUAAAUUAACCGAUUUUUUCCAAUAAUGUAUCCUAUUGGAAUAAAAAGGGCUAUAUAGCUCCUUGGAGCAGACAUGAUGCUCGUUGUGAAAAAAAAAAAGAUUCCUGCCAAUUUGUGAAAGAUAUUGUCGAAAAUAUGUCAUCUUGAAUUUGAACGCGAUUUCCCAAAAUGGCAUGAUUUUAUCGAUUGUUUCUGAUGGUAAGGUAUUGCAUGGAAAACUAACGUCAGAAUUGAGUUUCUUAGGGUAACAUUAAGCUUCACCAUGAGUUUGGUGAAAAUCGAUUGCAAGUUGUGAAAACUACCAUAGAUAAUGCGUUGCAUAAAAAAAGCUUAGAUUCUCGAGUUGCGUCCCCUAGACAGUCUGUGGUUCAUGUUUAUGAUUCUCGACCCCAUGUCGAAUUUAUCAAUUUUCUCAGAACUGGGGGAACUUUUCAAAAUUUUCGCUGCGUUAGUUUUGAAUUAUGACAUUGGGCUAUGUGUGUGUCAAGUUUCAUCAGAAUCGGUUGAAAGCCGUGGUCAGGGUGAGGGUACGAGAAAACAGACACACAGAAGCACGCACAGACAAACUGCCGUUUAUAUAUAGAGAGAUAUAUAUAUAUAUAAACACACACACACACAAAGGUGUGUGGUGUAACUCUCUUUAAAUUUGUGCAGUGGUUUACCAGAGGUAUCCUUGUGGAUGCUAUCACACAAACAUAUAUAUAUAUAUAUAUAUAUAUAUAUAUAUAUAGGAUAGCUGUAUGUGAUAGAAUAGUGACUGUGAAGCUGGGUCAAAGAGGCUUUAGCAGUGGUAAUAACCAUUGAACACACUGUCUUUUCAUUGUCUUAUCUUUUUAUUAUUGUUUGGUUGAGAAGUUAAAAUGUUUACUUUGCAUGCAUAUGCCACACCUUGGAUAAGUUUCUUCUACCGUAGCUUCAAGUUGACCAAUACCUUGUAUGGAAGUCUGUACAGUCUCACAUGCACACAUGAAUGCAGCUGUGUGGUUAACAAACUUGCUUUGCAAUCAUGUGGUUUUCAGUUCAAUCCCACUGCAUAGCACCCUGAGUGGGUGCCUUCCCCUAUAGCCACAGGCUGACUAAUGCCUUGCAAGUGGAUUUGAUAGACGAAAACUGUGGAAGCUAUUUUACUAUUUAACAACAUGUAUUGGUCUGUUUACACCCCCAUAACUUAAUAGUUUGGGAAAAAAAGAUUGAUAGAAUAAGUACCAAACUUUAAAAAAUAUGCAUUUGGCCCAACUUAUUCAACUAAAUCCCUUAAGGUGGCGUCCCAACAUGGCCACACUCUAAUGACUAAAACGAUUAAAAAGAAUAGUAAAUACUUGAAACUUAAGACAUUUCCUUCUUUUCUGAGUGUCAACCUAGCACCAACUCUCUGUUUGUUUUUUCACCUUGUUUUUGAGCUGUCUUUUUUGCACCACACACACUCACACACACACAUGUAUGUAUCCCCUAAAAACCACAUGCAACUCAUUCCAGCAAUGGAGAGGUGUGCUUAUUUUCUUUUGUUAUUGUCUGAGUUUGUUAAUGGUAAUGGUUAGUAUUAUGUAUGUAUAUGUUGUUAGAAAUAUAUACAUAUAUCUUUUCUUUCCUGAUAGUGUAUACUGCCUUGCAUCUUGGGCAAGUGUCUUCUACUAUAUCAUCAGGCCAACUAAAGCCUUGUAAAUAGAUUUGGUAAUAGAAGCUAAAAGAUCACUCCCUCCCUCACUCAUUUCUUGACUUGACUUGCAUGAUGGUUACAAAUGAGUGAUGUUGCCAUACAAGAUAUGGAAGUCAUUUCCAAUCUUCUUUAAAAACAUGUCUGGUCAUGGGAAAAUAUUGUCCUGCUGGGAAACAGGUGUGGGUUGGUAACAGGAAGAGCAUCCACCUAUAGAAAAUUGUCCUCAACAAAUUCUAUAUGAUCCAUACAAGUGCACAUGUGUGUGUGUGUGUGGGGGGGGUUGCAGGCAUAAGAAAUUCACUUUUUAAUUAAUUGUUCUUAGAUUUAAUCCCACUGCAUGGUAUUUUGGUCGAAUGUCUUUUAUGUUACCUUUGGGUCAAUCCAAGUUUUGUAAGUGAAAUUAGAUGGAUGGAAGUUGGAGAUGUGUGUCAAAUGAAGCAUACAUGUAACCGAAAGGUCCCAUUUUGUCACACUGUGUUGUACUGAUGUUGCUUGACAAUUAUAGUUUGCUACACAUAUUCAUCAUGAUUUGUGUAUGUGUAGCUUGCAGCAAAAGAUUGGCAAGAAGAUUAUUGGGGGGAAGGGUGCUUUUGUAUACAAAUAUACUGUGGUUGUUUGUUUUGCUUGAGUGGCACAGACAAUCCCAUAUCAUAAUCAUUAUACAUGUCAUAAAGUCAUAAAUCAGUGAUUGGUCCAUUCUGUAGCCCAUAGCCUCUGUGGUUCACCAAAUACAAUUAAAAAGCAAAAAGAAAAGGCUUAACAGUUAAAUCAGGGGUUUUCAACCAUUUAUUAGCCUAUGGACACCUUUGUUUUACUCUGGUGGACCCCAUAGACAUUCGAUGUUUAAAAAUAGUUUUAUAGACACUUUUUUACAAAUGCAGAUUUUGUUUUUCACCUGUUCACUUGUGUAGGUUUGCAAUAGCACUCACUGAGAGAACAUGUUCCAGUGGAUAGAAACAUGUUGAACUAUGUAAAACACAAACACAUCUAAUAUAAAAGUUAUUCAUGGAUCCCCUAAAAUACUAUCGUAGAUCUUCAAUUUAUUACUUUGCUUGCUUGGACCUACAAAAAUCUUAUAUGGACCCCAGUUGAGAACCACUGAGUUAAAUUAAUAUUUUAAAGAAACAGAAUUAACAGAAGUUAGUGCUAGGAAUGUGAAGGGAACACAGAGAGCUUUUUUCCAGUAAUGCCAAUAAUAUAUUCUAAUAUUGUUGGGUAUGCUCCAGAUAAAUCCUUAUUAAACAGGCAUCAGACAAAGAACUAAGUGCAGUUGUUUUCAUAUUUUUAAGUGCUCAUUGAGAGAAGAAAAUAUAGCACUCAUUAAAAUGCUUCUUCUACAUUUUUACUGUGGGUGUGCACAGAAAUUUGUACUGCAUACAUAUUUUGUCUUUCUUUAUAAAGUGUGUGCGCAUUCAUGCAAGAAAUCAUUGCUCAGAUUUCUUCAAUUAAUCUGAUUUCAUCUUGCAAACUUUGUGUGCACACAUUUUUUGCCUUUCUUAGUUGUAAAAUGAGUAUAUGCACACAAGUACAUAGCUUAGAAGGACCAUUGCUUAUGGCCACAUAUAUUUACAGGGCAUUUGAGACUGAUGGGAUAAAGACAAAAGAACAAUCUUCAGCCAGAAGACCUGGUUCAAAUGCUUUCAAGAGAGUGAACUCUGCUAAAGGCACUCAAGGACCAGCUGGUGGGUUUAAAUGAGGUGAUGGAAUUAAAUCUACCACUCAAAAUUCAAGGUGCAAAGAACCAGCAUAAAUACUGUAUGGUAUCUUGUCCAGUGCUUUAACAAUUCCACCAAUCUAUCUACCUGGAUUGGCAUUUUAUUUUAUUGAUUCUGAAAGAAUGAAAACAAAUAUUAUGCAGUUGGAUUUGAACUUGGAAUGCAGAAAACCUGAAACAAAUUACAUAAUGUAUUUUGUUUUGUGCUUUAAUGACUCUGCCAAUUCACUGUUAUUCUUGGCAAACUGUUUCAUUAUUGCUGUUAAAUUAUUUAUUUUUUGUUAUUUUAUUUUCUUGGUAAUUUUUGUCUUUUUUCUUCUGGCUAUAAUAAAUUUUGAGGUAAAACAUUUGAUCAUGAGCAAGCUGGAUUGGUCAAUAACUAACAUUCUUUGCAUUCUCUCUCUCUUCAUUUCUGAUCCUCCUCCCCCCAUCUGGAAUUAAGUCUACCAUGCAAAAUUCAAGGUGCAAAGAGCCAGCAUAAAUAAUGCAGAGCAUCUUGUCCAGUGUUCUAACAAUUCUGUUUACCUUUCAACCUGGAUGGGCACUUUAUUUUAUCAACUUUGAAAGGAUGAAAAGAAAAAUUGACUGCAGUUGGAUUUGAACUUGGAACACAGAAAGACCAAAACAGAUACCAUGAAGUAUUUUGUUCUCUACUGUAACGACUCUGCCAAUUCACUGUUAUUUCUGGCAAACAGCUUCCUUACAGCCAUUAAUUACUUGAUACAGCAGGUGUGUUUUAUGCUCGAGUGUUUCUCGAAUAUCACAAUAUGCUCAAUGCAAUUCCUGAAAGUAUGGUUUUUAAACUCCCCAUUUGUUAUUAUUCUCAGGAUGUUAGCCUUGCUCAGCUGCUGUGCAGCAAACAUUUUGAUCUAGCUUCAGAAUAAAUUGCUGAAAAUUUUUAUUUGACUUCACAACUCUGAGUUACGUAAAUCAGGAAAUGUGAAAUAAAACUGUAAGACCUGCAAACUGAAGUGGUCGACCCUAACACCACAUUCCUAUGAGAAAUAUUUCUGGUGCAGGGUGGAAGAAAUACCUUAAGCGUACUUAGUAUUUUAUUAUAGAAUCCAGAGACAACCAACAACAACAGUAAUAAUAAAGCUUUAAAAAACAAAGACAAAAAUAAAAACAUGCUCUAGUAUUACAAAACAUUUUCUGAAGACAUUCCAGUAGUGAAAAAAUAAAAUUAAAAUAUACUUAUGGAACAAAAAAAUUUUUUUAAAUAAGAAGAACAUUAAAAAUUAUAAAAAAAAAAAACACAAACCAACUACAAAUAAACAUUGUGAUUAGAAAAAUUUAUUUAUAAAACACAUUCUUUGAAAAUGUCUAUAAAGGCGGAAAUUAGAGUAAGUGUAUGCUUAAGGCAAAAGAUGAAUUUAGGUAGCAGGGUUGAAGAUGUGUGUGAGGGAGAGGCUAAUGGUGUUGGGGGUAUGGUACAGGGGGUGGGGCAGUGGUGCUGGUUUAUGUGUUGGGAGAGUGGUGAAAUGUCUAGUUUACACAAUUGAAAUAAUGCCAAGUCCUAUUUUAACAAUAUAUUUUUCCAAUUUGCCAAGUGGGUAGUGUUGGAGAAGAACAUGAAAAAAUAAAAACAAAAACAGUAUCUUGUAGAGGUCUGCUCUAUCAACUCAUUCGCAUAAGGUUGAUAAUUAAAAUUUCACUAUCUUCCAACUUGAUGAGACUUUUGUUUCUUUCUUAUUUUAUUUUAUUUUGUUAUUUUUUGGUAAUUUUUGUCUUUUUCUUCUUGGCUAUAAUAAACUUUGAGGCAAGACAUUUGAUCAUGAGCAAGCUGGAUUGGUCAAUAACUAGCAUUCUUUGCAUUCUCACUCCUCAUUUCUGAUCUCUUCCUCCAACCCCUUCUCUCUGCAUAUGAACAGACAAUUGCAGAAUAAGUAGAGUUGAACAAAAUAUCUUGUGAUACUCCCUAUGAUUAUCCAUAUCUUCUCUGUUAUUUGUGGUGCAGUUGAUUAGGUGCAGGCCAUGUUUGCAGCCCCUAGUUAAUCUUAAUACUUCAGACCUAAAAUCAAAAGCAUUCCAACCAUGGCCAUCCCAAUAUUUUUUUUCAAGGGUUUUAGAAUGCAUCAUGUCUCUAACUAGUUUCAGUUCAAGAACUGUGGCCAUGCUGGGGCACCACCAUUAUCUGUGUACUUCUUUUUAAGAUGGUAGGGUUUGACUUGAAGGAGAUUUAGCUGCUGUUUCUAAAAGGUCAAGCUACCAAAAAGAACAUAUUUCAGUUCAUACUUGAAAAUAGAUUUAUGAUACUGAUUGACUGAUUGGUCUGGUUGUUCAAAUUAUAUCUACUGAGCUAAUCAAAUACUUAGAAUUAACCACUGACCCAGCAUUAUGUGUGUGUGCGUGUGUGUGUGUGUGUGUAAAUGUUUGUUUUCAUGUUGAGUUAUAAUAAAAACAAUUUUACAUUAAUCUGAUAGGUUACUCUAUGCUUUUGUGGAGUACAAAUUUAUUAUUUCUAAACAAAAAUAUUGUUGAAGUUUUGGCCAGUGAUGGCUUAGCUGGCCAAAACUUCAAAGUCAUUGUCAACAACAUUUUUGUAUAUAUUGUGCGCAUGCACACACACACACACACACACACACACACACACACACACACACACACACACACACACACACACUGCUUCCAGCUGUUCAGUAUUUACAUUGUACAUAUUAUUGUGCAGUUGUUGCUUAGUCCUUGGUCAGCCCUUUUGAAACUGAUCAUCUGAUCUUUAUUAGACAUGGUCUCUAAUAUUCUAUUCAAAUUGAUGGAGGUGGGGUGUAAUGCAGUUGUAUAGAGACUCCUUCAGUUUGUUACGCAGUUGAUUAAGUAGGUAUGUUGUGUUAUAUGGAGUCAGUUACAGUGUAGCAGUGUUGUGUGGUUUGUAGAUGCAGUGCUAUUAUAUAGGAAUGUUGUGUGAUGUAUACAUGCAGCCUGGUUAUAUAGGAAUAUUAUGUGAUCUAUAGGUCAGAGUGUGGUUAUGUAGGAAUGUUGUGUAGUCUAUAGAUAGUGGAGUUAUGUAAGAAUGUUGUGUACUAGUGUGUGUAUGCUGCAGAAUGUUAGUUAAUUUUUUUUAAAUAUUAAGAUGUUUUUGUGUUAUGUUAUGGUAUGUGCAGCCACUGCUCAUUUGUUCACAUAUUCUUCUGUACAUAUACUGAAGGCAUGCACACACACACACACACACACACACACACACACACACAUGUUUAUGUGCAUGUUUGUGUAUUUGUGUGUGUGUAUACAGAGAAAGAGAGUGAGGUAUAUGUGUCUGUGCAGACAGAAAUAUAUACACACAAACGUGUACUUAUACACAUGCAAAAUAUACCUACAUACAGUCUUAUAUAUUUGAAGAUUUGUAUAUAUAUAUUACUCAGCAUAUCUAGGUAUUUCUCUCUCUGUCUCUGUGACUGUCUGUCUGUCUGUCUAUCUGUCUCUCUCUUAUGAACACACACCCCUCUAAAUAUUUUCAUUUGUAUAUAGAUAGGAGCACAUCAUUUCAUUACCAUAUAAAUGUCAGGUUACAUCUGACAUAUUGUUUUGAGGUUUUUACCUGUUUGCAAAGUCAGUUUAGUGUAGGUAAGAAUGUACACAUUUAUGUAUUACACUGCGUCUCUCUUUCACAUAUUCCCUGCCUGUCUACCUCUGUCUAUGUGUCUGUCUGUCCCUCUCUGGUUGUCUUUCCCACUCUCUUUCUCUUUCUAUAUAUCAUUCUCUCUUUGUCUGCUUCUCCUUUCAUAUUUGAGAAAAUUGAUGAGUAUACUAUAUAUUCUCCAAAAAUGAAAAUUCUUUCAUUCUUCGCUUAAUUAAAUUUAUUGUUACAGACGCUCUUUCUCUCUCUCUCACACACACACAGAUAUCCAAAAUUUAUGCAUCAGCUUUUUGUAACUGGAACAGCUAUAUGUUGAUAUGUUUGUGCAUUUAUUUAUUUUCUUUUCUUUUCAUUGUUCAGCCAAGAACUGCAAGUAACCUUGAUAGUUUGGAGUUUGACUAAGAUAAGGAAUGUAGUAUUAACUUUCUGUGACAAACUUGAUAUAUUUUAGUAAAUGGUUUUAGCCGUUGUAAGAUAUCUUUGUAAAACGUUUUGUAUCUGUAUAUAAAGGGUAUAGGCAUGGCCGUGUGGUGAGAAGUUUGCUUCUCAACCACAUGGUUCCACGGUCAAUCACACUACAUAGCACCAUGGGCAAAUGCCUUCUACUAUAGCCUUGGUCUGACCAAAACUUUAUGAGUGGAUUUGGUAGACACAAACUGAGAUUAUAUAUAUUGGUUCCACUUGGGCCAAGCAAUACUAAUAAACUGGUGCUAGAGCUCAAUUUACAUAUGUCUUACAGUAAAGCAUUAGCUGGGUACAGAGCAUUACAUGAAAUUAAACUAAUGACAAAGGAACAAAAUUAUGCAAUGAAUUUCAUCAUCUUACAGCUGUUUCUACUACAGGGUGCAGUGUAAAUAUUAGGUAUAGUUACAUUCUCAUUAUGAUCUGAAGUCUAUUUUAUUGCACUGGAGUGUUUUCAAUGAAGUUUUUAAAAAUUUCAUAGCUGGAGUGGCUGUGUGGUAAGUAACUUGCUUACCAACCACAUGGUUCCGGGUUCAGUCCCACUGCAUGGCACUUUGGGCAAGUGUCUUCUACUAUAGCCUCGGGUCGACCAAAGCCUUGUGAGUGGAUUUGGUAGACGGAAACUGAAAGAAGCCCGUUGUAUAUAUAUAUAUAUAUAUAUAUAUGUGAGUUUGUAUGUUUGUGUAUCUGUGUUUGUCUCCCCAACAUUGCUUGACAACCGAUGCUGGUGUGUUUAGGUCCCUGUAACUUAGUGGUUCAGCAAAAGAGACCGAUAGAAUAAGUACUAGGCUUACAAAGAAUAAGUCCUGGGAUCGAUUUGAUUCGAUUAAAGGCAGUGCUCCGGCAUGGCCGCAGUCAAAUGACUGAAACAAGUGAAAGAAUUAAAAUAUUUUUAAUAUUCCUUUUUUCUGAUGUAAAAUGGAAUAACAGAUGUUGACAUAAAAAGACUUUCCUGAAGGCAUAACCUUUAUCAUUUUAUACAAUCUUUGUUAUAUGUGUGUAUAUAUACACGCGCACAUAUAUAUAUACUUUUAUUAAAGCUGCUAAAUCAUCACAAAAACUGUUCCUCAGAGUUUCACAUUCCCAUUCAUUGGACAGUUGUGAUGAAAACUUGCGGCUUUAAUAAAACCAUACUACUCUGCCUUUGGUAUUCAAAUACUAUUUGUUCUAACUUGUUUUGCACUUAUGUGCUCACCUGUGUGUGUGUGUAUGGGAAAGUGAGGCUUAUCCCUUGGUUCUGUUCUCAUAAUUGUUUCACUAAUCCAAUAACAACGAUGCAAAGUAUGUAGCCCUUAAAACAGUUUUUGUGCUUUUACAUAGAAUACUGAACUGUCUUACACAGGGUUUUGUUUUUAGGAAUUCCCAAUAAGUUAUGAAUACCCAAAUUGUGAAGUCAGUUAUAUAAUAAUAUGAAAUUACUUACCCGAUAGUAAGAAUUCAAAUAAAGUAGGCUUUAUUGUAAGAUCCUGUGUAAGACAGUUCAGUAUUCUUAUUUUGGUUAGUGACUUUCCUAUUGUUUAGGAAAAUACUAUUUACUUGUUUAAGGCUUGUACUGCGUAAAUUGCAAAAAUAACUAACAGUUCAAAUACUAAGAAAUAAGCAUACUGAAUUUCAUUUUUACCAAAUAAUUUAGGAAAAUGAAUAGUUUAUUUCCCUUGGCUAUGUAUAAGGAUUCCUUCCAGGGGCGAACGGGUUAUUUCCCUGGGUUCUUAAAAUAAAAUAUAUUAGAUAUAUAUAAGGAUCUCUUCCAGGGGCCCUAUUAUCGAUUUUUUUCAACAAUCUGAGUUUGCUAUGAGGUUUCCAGAGAUGAGUUCUACUCACUGGUCAAGUUUCAUCAAAAUUGAUAAAACGAUGUAGGAGGAGUUAGUUAACAACUUCACAAACACACCCAUAGACAGAAUUCCCCACAUUUGUAGUAGAUAUAUAUGUUCUAUGGAAGAUAUUUGUCCUCAGCCAUCUGGACUUUUUCUCUCAACCAUAAUCACUCCUUUGUCAAUUUAAUAGUGGAACUUGAGGUAGUUCAGCUGUGCUACAACAAGAAGAUUGCAUUAGUCAAAGAGUGAGCUACUGGAGAAACUAAAAGAAUUUUGACUCCUUGGCGUGAAAACAAGCGAGUUAUGUAGUGGUUAUACAUAAGGAAGAUCCUAGAGGAACUGGCAUCAAACUUUGGGAUCUAGAGUUAUUCCAACCCCAUAACAGGAUAUCACUACAUUAUUCCAAAGAUCUCAGCCAGUUUGUCUAGAGUAAGAACUAGGUACUGCAAUAGCUUGGGGUUUAAAGGCCCACAGCUAUUUAAUAUCAUGCCAAAAUACCUGAGAGAACUACAUGGAGUGAAGGAUAGAUGUUUUCAAGAAGCACCUUGAUCUUUUGUUCUCCAAGAUUCCAAAUGAACAUACAUCACAGCAAGAAACUUAAACAAGAGCAGCACUAUCAAACUCACCCUAUCACCAAAAGCCAAUCACAUAAAAAUGGCUAUUGAAAAGAUUCUGACAGCACUGUCGCACCAUGGACGCAGCCUUUGGGCUGAAAUGCAUUGAGGAAUAUAUGUGUGUGUGUUUGUGUGUGUGGUUAUAACUUUCCACAUAUUGGCCAUGUUAAGGUAAUUUUGGUGUGCAUGUAGGUUACACUGUUGUUUCUUUAAUAAAAUCAAAAUAAUUUAGUCAGUGGUAGAAAUCAGAGCCCAUUGCCAUAUCAGGUCUGCCUGGACUUGUGAGAUUGAUGUGGUUAAUAUUUGGUUAUAACAUCAACAGAUAAACAUCUGCAAAAUGCAAAUUAAUGAUCUGCUCUGAACAGUUGAAGCAGAUUAAACUUUCUUAAAGGCACCCAGUGACCAAGUAUUAAACUAAAUGUUUAAAAGCAUUCCAACCAUGACUAUAAUCAUUCAAUUCGUAUUUAUAUAAUAUGUUAUUCCAUUUUUAGAUGGUAGAAUAUAAUUUAAAGAAUAUUUGACUGCAAUUUGUAGCAGCCCAAAUGGUCACACAGAGGCUUGUGUUUAAAUUGGCAUUUAUUAAUUAAGAUUCCUUAAACAAUCUAUCUCAAUCCUUAGCAUAUCUCACAAUUUUAUUCUAUUUCUCUUUUACAGUCAGCCGCUUAUUCUGUGAAUCUGAAUCUUUCAAGAUGUAUCUUAUCUUGGAUGUCAAUACACAGACGUAUCCAGUGGAACUUGGUAAGUCACACUUCAUUUGAUACUUUAAUUGGUUUGUUUUGUCUCUACAAUUCACUGUCUAUCUUUUAUGUCACUCUCUCUCUCUCUCUCUCUCUCUCUCUCUCUCUCUCACACACACACACAUAUUUUCUCUCCCAUGUACAUUUAACUGUCCUCUCUCUCUCUCUCAUGUAUAUUUAACUGUCCUAUCUCUCCCAUGUACAAUUAACUGUUUUCUCUAGCUUAUAUUUCACUGUUCAUUCUCUUACCUUUUACAGUCUUUCCUCACAUGCUUCACUGUCCUUUCUCUCACAUUUUACUGUCCCCUCUCUUACGUUUCACUAUUCUCUCUUUAGAUUCCAGUGUCUUAAUGUUUACUCAAUAUUUUCUUUUGCAUUUCAGUUUCCCUUCUAUAUUUCAGCAAUAUCUGUACAAAUCCUGACUGACUAGGUGAAAUACUCACCUUUUUGUCAGGUGAAAUACUCACCUUUUUGUCAAAUGUAAAACUAUGCUUUACCCUAUACUGCAACUUUUGUAGGAGUUCAACUUGUGAUAUUCUAGGAUCUUAGUUGCUCUAUCUUUAUUAACUAAUUUUAUACCAGCAUAUGAUGGCCUCUGGUGUAACAACAGUGCUACAGCUGCAGCAGAUGUUAUCAUCCUUCUUUCCCCAUUCUUUUUCUACUCCUGUUUCUGUCUUUCCUUCUCUCACAAAAUUACUGCAAGAUAAUCAGUGAGUCUCUCAACCUGUUAGAUAUAGCAACCAAAUCACACCCUACUAUCUUUAAUAUGUAAGGACACAUUGGAUCAUGUAGUCUAAGGUAUACAAAGGACAGGAUUAUCCACCAUAGAUUUACUUUUGCAGUACUGACAUCAAACAACAGCAACAGUAUCAUAGAGGAGUUUUUAAAAUGUGAUAUGUCUUUCCACUGUGGUUGUGAGUUGAAUGAAACAGUGUCAUUUAUUUGCAUUUAAUAGAGUAGGGCUAGGAGAUUAAUGAUCAAGUCAAUUUUUUGCUACUUUGAACAACUUGCCUGUAGGCAAAACUCAACUUGCCACUGUUAAAGCUCAGAAUAAUAAGAGAUAAACUAAAAACACUAUUUCAAUGCCUUUUUUAAGUUUGGAAACGGGGUUACUUUACUGCUGGUUCUCUAGCUUUCAUCCACCCCUUCCUUCCCAGGAGCUCCCUGUGUACCUGUAUAGUCAUGUUACAACAUAUCUCUCACAAUGAUCAAAGAAUAUCACCAUCAUCACCAUUUAAUGGCCAUGUUCCAUGCUGGCAUGGGUUGGAUGGUUUGAUGGGAUCCAAUGAGUUCAACAACAGCAUUGUGCUCUAAUGCCAUAAGUCUUUCCACACUUUCUGUAGUUUUUAUGACCUGCUCCCACAAUUUGAUACCUCUGUAAUUACUCCUCUCUAAGGCAUCUCCUUUACCACUGUAACAGUUGACAAUAAUACUGCUACAUUAGUCACUGGAUAUGACAUUUUACAGUACCGCUUGAUUAACUAUGCAGGUAACAAGCUUGUGCCCCAUUCCAUUAAGUAUUUUAAGCAGCUCAGCAGUAAUUCCUUAUGAACCAGGGGUUUUCCCUGUCUUUAUAUCCUUAAUUGCUUUAUCUAUCAUACUUCAGUCAACUAGAAUGGUCUUUCUGUUGGAUUCAUACUUGGAAGACUUUGUUUCUCCCAUUCAUUCUACACAUUUAGUUGCCUUUUAUAAGGUACCUUUCAUACCUCUUUCUUUUCAGAAUCACUCAGUGGAAGUGUAUCAUUUUCCUUCCAUAUGCACUUCACUCUGACAACAUCUUGAUUUUCUUGAUAUACUGCUUUGCAAUCUGGAUGCAACUCAUGUCUCUGAUCUUCAUAAUGUAGAACAUUGGCAAACAUCUUUGUUUUACUUACUGCCUUACUAAAUAGACCUGCCUCUUAGUCUCUCUUCUAGUUACAUGGUGUAGUUCUCUACUGUCCCCAUUCUUCCAAUCUUUCAGCCCCAGCAUGGCCACAGCUCAUAAGCUGAAACUAGAAUCAAUCAAUCAUAUAUAUAUAUAUAAUCCCUCAUUUCAGUUGCCAGUUACUUGGUGACCUCACUAGUGCUGGUGCCAUGGAAAAACACUAAGUACACUCUGUAAAGUGGUUGAGGUUACAAAAGUAUCCAAAUGUAGAAACCAUGCCAAACAGACAUUGGAGUUCGGUGCUGUCCUCUGGCGGGACAGUCCCUGCUGAACAAUUCAGUCCAUGUUAGCAGAGAAAACAGACAUUAAAUGAUAAUGGCGAUAAUAUAUACAUUCUUGUGUUUGUGUAUAUGCAUGUAUAGAGUUGAAUAUGCUGUACAAGAUAUUGAAACUAUUACUCUUAGCAGAAAUAAAUGGUGAAAAAUAAUCUGGUCUGGGGUAAAAGGUUUUUAAGAAAGCAAACAACAGUAUGCAGAAAUUAAGAGAACCGUGGAAAAAUAUCAGUCUGAUAACCAUGGAAAUAGUGUUGUCCUUUAGUUGCUCAAUGUGUGGUAAGACAAGGCUUUCGAAGGCUGGCUUAACUUCACAUCUCAGAUUAUGUUUUCCUAUAGUUGGCCCAAAUGAUACAAAGAUCAUUCCAGCAUUAAUGCUUGUGCCACAUUUGUAAUACUUGUAAGACUUAGCUACUCUAGAAAGGCAUUUAAAUAUCCAUAAAGCAAACAAUACAAACAAAAAUGUGCCAAUUUCAGAGAGACAUAUUUGCUCUGUUUGAAUGCAAAUUUUAAACAAUUCAUGGAACUUUAAAGUCACUCUCAUGCUCAUGCAUGAAAAAGUACAGCUAACAAGAAGUGGUCAAG